UUUUUUUUUCUUUCUUCCUUUUGUUUUUCCUUUUCAUUCACAUAAGCUCCCACAGAAUAAGAAGCUCUAGAGUAACAUCGUGGCCUUGUUAGUUUUUGCAGCUGGUUUCUCAGGUUUGGAUUUAGUACUUUGCCAUUGGAAACGUAGAGUCUUUGCAAGUUCAAAAAUUAUACCAAAGGAUACAAAUGUAGGGACAGUGUCGUCUCGAAUCCUGUGAGACAACAACUCUUCCAGUGCCUUAAACUUCUACUUCUGCCCAAGUGUAGUGCACCUUAUCUCUCUCCCCUUAAGCCAACUGGAAAAGGGGCAAUUGCUUGAUGAGAGAGCCCUUAGUGGCUAUUUUAUCCCCAUUUAUCUCCCAAGGUUCCAAGGAUCCACGGUGACAGUAUAUCCAAAUCUCAUCCCAUGAUCACAUGCGCUACACUCACCCCCCCUUCAGAGAUGUCAAUGUCCUCAUUGACUAUUGACUAAUAACCCCUACUGAGCCAAGGGGAACCAGCACCUCCAUUUCCGCACUCAAUCUACCAAUCCUUCCAUUGUGUAGACCAGCUAUUCCAUGUGAGGCAACUAGUCAUCCACCCGUACCGCAGUCCCACGGUGGAUACCUUCGUCCGUGGAUACUCCACACAAGAGGCAAUGUCCUCAUUGACUAUUGACUAAUAACCCCUACUGAGCCAAGGGGAACCAGCACCUCCAUUUCCGCACUCAAUCUACCAAUCCUUCCAUUGUGUAGACCAGCUAUUCCAUGUGAGGCAACUAGUCAUCCACUCGUACCGCAGUCCCACGGUGGAUACCUUCGUCCGUGGAUACUCCACACAAGAGGAAUGACGUACGCAUGGAUGCCCAAUACGUACGAUUUCAAAUUUAGGGGUAGGAAUAUACCUUGCUCAAGGGUAUAUUAUACUUUUUAAGUAGCUACUAAUCAAUGGGAAUCGAACCCGUGCCAUUUGCUCUGAUACCAACUGUAGCGCACCUUAUCUCUCUCCCCUUAAGCCAACUAGAAAAGGGGCAAUUGCUUGAUGAGAGAGCCCUUAGUGGCUAUUUUAUCCCCAUUUAUCUCCCAAGGUUCCAAGGAUCCACGAUGACAGUAUAUCCAAAUCUCAUCCCAUGAUCACAUGCGCUACACCAAGAGAGAAUAUUUUCAUCAUUACAAAUCCGUAGUGAGAGCAUCUUCAGGCUUUACUGAUAGUGGCAGCCCUGGACGAGGUAGCCAAGUCCAAAGAAAGUUGUUUAAAAUGUCGAGCAAGAUAUCUACAACUAGGUAGGAUGAUUCCAUAAACAAGUAACAUUGUUCUCGCCAUGGAGAUUGGUAUCUAGCAUGAUGUUUUCAGUUUACAAGGUUGGCUGUGGAAAACCCCUCACACAUCCAAUGACAAGUCCCUGAAAAGUUGAUGGACUCAAAGAUUGUUUGAAGUAGUUUAUAACUUUCUUUCUCGUUAGGACAUUUUUUUUAUAUACCUUGAUGCAUGUUCUACUUUAAAGGAUUUCUUUUAAGCUACUACAGGGUGAAGGAGAGCUCAACAUUGUCAGAGAUGGAUAUCCAAGGCCAAGAACCAAAGUGAACCUUUGAUGUAUGUGUGUCUUCCCAUUUAACUUUCUUCUAAGCUGCUUUGUUUUUCUUUUGUAAGCUAUCCAGUAGGAUCCAGUAGGAGCACGGUCAUUUAGAAGCAAGAGACUUAGUUUAGCGAAUUGCAAGUUUCGUGACAAAGAGAUGUCAAAGAUACAAGGACUUUUAGUGACCAUGUCAAUAUCUCUGAAGGUCACCCUUGAAAGACUUGACUUUAGCGUAAGUAUAAAGUACUUGCAAUGUGAAGUGCCAUUGUUAUUAGCAUUUUGUUGAUGCUACAGGAUAAUAUGAUUUGAGUAAAAAGGUGCAUAUGAUGAAGUUCUGCCGCUAAUGAUAUGCUUUCUAGAUUUUGUUUGCUAGACAGCUUCUUCACACUUUCAAAUUCGAGUCCUAGCUCAAAUUUUUGAUUGCCAUAGUGAUUUUGACUGUGGCUUUUCCAACCCUUUUGUCAAGAGCACUACAAGAGCAUACAUGGCUUCAAGCAUCUAGUUCAAACAAAUCAACAAAGAUGAAAUUUAAAAUUGCUUGUGGCUCAAGCUCUUUCACGUUCAUUUUCUUGCACAUUUAUUGCAAGAUGGGGUUUAGCAUCUAGUACAGAAAGCAAUACACCACAUUCUGCACCCAACUUCUCUGAAGUCCUUAAAGAACUCUCUAUCCGGAUGCACAAUGAUCAUUUUCCAGGAUUCCAGUGUUAGGCAUACAAUGUUAACGUGGUAGAUUACCUGAGAGGGGCUUUCAGAGGUAGCUUGUGUUUCUCGCAUAUUAGUUCUCUUGGAAAUUUUAGGUUGUUGUCCAAUGCAAUCAGCAGCAAUCUUGUGAGUUGUUGCUAUGGGAUUGCUAGUUUGUGUGCUUUGAAUUCUAGAAAUUGUUAAGAGAAGCAUUGCAAGAUUUCACGAAUAGAUAUUUGUAUUAUAGAGAAAGCAUUUGAAAAAUAGACAAGAGACAAUUGUAUCUAUUUCUAGUUGUUGGCAAUUUCCAUGACUGAAUUGUUUGGUGUCUCAAAAUGGACAAUAAUAUUUGCCUCAUUCAAUAGAAAGAACCCUAUUAGUUUUGAAGACAGAUAAACAGCAAUCUUUUCUAGGGAUUCCAAAGCAAACUUGACCAUAGACCCUUCAUCCAAAUUAUAAAUUUUAUCCACCAUUUUAUCAUACACUGUAACUAUAUUCCAUUAUGUCAUUUGAUAUAAUAGAACCAAUUAUUGUAGCUGAUUUAUGAGGGAUGGAAUGCCCUUUACACUUUGCGCAAACAACAAAACCAUCUUCUCUCUGCUCUAAUAUUGUGAAAGAGCAAAAUGAGCAAAGACUUUCAGCUUGAGUGAGGCUUUGUUGGUUGUCAGGGAUGAAAUAUCCACUAAUCUAUAUAAUUGGAAGUUAGAGUUGAAAGUAGAUGUAAAUAGUUUACAUUACCUUGUCUUUAGAAGUGAGGCCACAGUGUGAUUUAUAAACUUCAUUGAGCCUCUGAAUUUCAUUUGAAUCAACUAGUGGCAAAAAUAAAGUACUUCCAAGUGUUGCUAAAUCACCUGAUACACUCAUGUUUUUCAUAAUAUUAAAAAAUAAAAACUUUGGCAUAUAUCCAACAUAUAAAUCUGCUACAAUAUGAUGAUAUUGCUCUUCAUGCUCCAGAUGCAUAUAGAGUUGUGAAAAUAUCUUAGAAAUAGAAAAUUAAAUAGGAAAAAACAUUACCAUAGUUAUGUCCAAAGGAUUAUCAGAAGAAGCAAUCUUUAUUUUAGAUAAAACACCAAUGAUGAUUACAAUAGCAUGUAUAGCUUGUGGAUAAACUCUAGUAGCCAUUAAAGAUGAUAUAGAAGCUCCUCUAGUUGGCUGUAAUCUUAAUUUAACAUCAAAAUCAUCUUUAAUUUGAAUCAUAGAAGAAUCUGUAAUAUAAAGAACUUUUUCUAAAGUUCUAUGGUGGUAAACUAGGUUUUUCUAUCGUUCAACCCAUCUGAAGUGAGAGAAUUAUAAUCUUGUUAAUUUUUUUAAAAAUAAAUUACAAACCUUGUAAGUGAGAAACAUUUACCAACGAUAAAUUUAUUUUAUAAUCAUGCACACAUGGAUGAAUUGCCAUAUGCAGUUAAAGUUUGCAAGCCAUGCAUAUCUGUACAAUCCAUUAUAUAAAUUAAGUAUUUUGCACUUUGCAGAGUGUUCUUUGGAGGCAAAAAUCAAAUCAAAACUACAGAAAAAAAAAGAUUUUAAAACCAUAUAUAGAUAAAAUCUUCAGCUCAAGAAUUUUGGUUGAAUUUGCUUUUCCAAAGACAAGUGUUGCAAUAGUAGCUUUUAGGAUGGUCAACUUUGUCCUCUUUGCUUGUGAAACUACAAAACCAAAAAGAAAUAAAUCAAGAAAUACUAAGGAAUAAAGAGAAAAACCAAACCUUCAUAAGAAUUUGUUUCUGUAGACAAAUCCUCAGCGGGUGACAAUUGAACAAUAUCCAUAGCACAAUCCAAAUCUGACAUAUCUAUGUGAUUGAUUAAACAGAAUUACCUCUAGUUAAUUUAUACUAGUAAAAAGAUCCAAAAAUAAACUAGACUUCACUUUGAAGAAUCGAAAACAAAAAAGAAUAAAAAUUUGAGCUAAAAAUUAAAAUCUGUCAACUAGGGUUACAGUAGACAAUAAACCAAUUCCACAGGUGACAAACCUUCUGAACCUUUUCAACAUUGUCCAAGCUGAAGCUAGAAGCAACCUGACUGUACUCCUCAGCUGCUACAAUCUCCCUCCAUCCAUCGCUUUAGAAAAGAGGAAUGAAUAGGAAUAGAAAGAUUGUCCUCCACUAAUCUUUAUUUUCUACACAUAAUAGGGAGCCAUACAGAGGAAGAUCUAAGUCCAUAUAUGCAUUCCAGGUUGAUUGAUUGAUUCUGGGCAAUCAAUCAGUACCGCCAUAGUGGGUUUCUAAUCCUGGAUCGUGGCUCUCAGCUCAAACCUCCAGGGAGAGCCAAUUCUCAAUCAAUUCACUAGUCCAAAUAUGAUUUUUCUUGAUGCUUCCCAGAGACAAGAGCAAUCCAUUGGAGCCAGUGGACAAUGCAGUGGCUGGGAAUGACAAUAGCAUCAUGAUUGAUCUCAAGGGGGCACUACUCAAAUUCCUGAGCUGGUUUCAAUGCUUCAUGCUUGUCACAAUUGAGGCUGGGAGGCCUCUAUGAGCGCUCCUCCUCUUUUUCAUUCUUCCCUUCACGUGGAUCACUGGCCGCUUCGUCCAUCCAGUCUUGGCUCCAGAUUCUCUGCUUCAUGGCAGAGCCUGGAUUAAGGGCCUUGGCAGUGGAACUUUGAGAGCUUAUGCUCAUGAUGAUACAAAGUGGUUAGAAAAGUUUAUAAAUUAUAAUUAUGUUUAUAAAUUAUAAAUACGAAAUUAAUCUAAAUGAAUAGAUGAUAGAAUAUCCUAAUAUAUCCAAGCAUAUUCUAAGUAUAUUCAUUACUAUACAGGUUUGCUUAAGAAAACCAAAAAAAACCAUAUAUGGAAAAAGAAACCAUGAGCAUCUUUACUAAGGAGAUAUAAUACUCACUUCCACGACAAAAAAGCUAGCCUCCUCGACAGCCUCGAGGGAGAUGGCACAGGCUCCUCUGGAGGCAGCAGCCAUUGCCAAAGGGUACUACUGUCAACUUCCCAGCCAAGAUGAGAGCCAACUGCAAAGCUUUUCUGCUCGAGAGCAUCCCGAGAUGCAAAUCUGACUAUCCUCUGGUGAGGCUCAAGGGGGACGUCCAGGGGCACUACACUGGAUCACGCGUGGUAUGGCUUCAAGAAACUGGAAACUUUCCUGGACUUUGCUGGAGCUGCUCAUAGGCAUCAGGACGGGGGACCAGAAGCUUCUCCACUUGAAGGAGUUGGAAGAUAACAAGAUCAAGGGCAAGGACAACAUCAAGAACAUGUGCUUCUGUUCUUGACGAGGAAGAGGAGCUUGACGAGGUUGCGAUGACUCUGGAACCAGAGGAAGAAAAGAAGAAGCAAGAAAAGGCAAUGGUGGAUGUGAAGAAGUGGAAGAAAGCUACCACGGCUAGCAUCCAGGCAACAUGGAAAGCCCAGGCUCCCGCAAGCAAUGCCAAGGCGCAAGGAGUGAACAAGAGUAGCAGCAGUGGCAAGCUCAAGAUGGGGGGUGGAAAGCUAAGCGAGCUCAUUAGAAAAGUAAUGAGAUAGCAUUGACUGAUAGUAGUCAGCGUUAGUCCACCCUACUAACGAAAAUUCGCAGCUCAAGUCACACCAUGAUAAUCAAUAAAUCCAUCAGCGAGGCUACUCUCAGCCACAUUCUCCGUGAAACAGAGCCUCAUUCUAAUGAAUUCAUUGAUGUGCUUAUAAAGCUGGUAAAGAAUUAGUGACUAACGUUGACUGCUAUGACUACUAUUAUCUACUACUUCCGAUAAGAAAUGUUAUUGAAAGUUUAUAUUUUUAAAACAGGAAAUUAAAUGUCCAAAGUGUUUGUUUGAGACUUGCAAUAUAAUCCCCCCAAUUCAAUAUCUCUCUGUUGUCUUAAUGAAAAGUUGUUGUCUUGUUGCCUUGUUUGAGACUUGCAAAUCAUAAUCUCCUAAUUCAAAUGCCUCCAGACUUCUCCAUCUGUUAUAAUUUCGAUUGAAUACGACGGACCUGCCUUUGCCUGUUGCGGUUUAAAAAAACCGAAGUAAUUUGUUUCAUGAAUCUUCAUUCUGUGCCUGCAACCUCAAGCGUAUCAUCAGUCCAAAACGACCGAAAAGCGUACCUCCUUUCGCUCUAAGCUCCGUCGAGCUCCAGCUUAACCUCCGAGGUGGAAGGCUAGUUCAAGCAGAAGUUAUACUUUGACUCGAGGCAUGGAGACUGUUUACCUUGGCAUCUGAGUCGUGUACACGAGCAGCCAAAUGCGAACCUCCAGAAUUGGCCGAGUGAUUUGCCUCAACCACGGGCUUCUCCAGAUUCUCCACCUCACGGAUCCUAAAAGUGCUCCAUUAGUCACUUGUUCUAUCUCUCAAGCAUGAAGACUUACCUGUGGGAGUGCUUGUUGCCAGGCCUCCUCAUCCCAAACUCGGUGAUCCUUUGCAUGUGCUUCUCCAUCUCAGCUCGCUUCUCCGCUGCUGCCGCGAGCUGAACAACGAAAGCAUCUCCAGGAUCGAACACAGUGCCACGAUGAGACACUGGAUCCAAAGCCUGUUCCUGGGCUCUUCGAUCAUUGCCGCUCCGACGAGCAGCACUCGACAAGAAUGGAUCCUCCGGGAGAGAAGCUCUUGGCACCUUCUUGUGCUCGUCGACUCCAUGGAUCGCUGCUGGUGGAUCUCGUCCCAAUGGCGGCGUCAGGGGGUCGUCAACCGAAUCGGUAGCAGCACCAUAGAUUGGAUUCAUCUUGAGAAAAGCCGAAGGUGGCAGCCGCCUUGGAGGCCUCGCGAGUGGAGGACUGGCCACCUUUGUGCUGGGAUUUAGCUGCGACGGUCGAAGGUGCUGCUCGCUCCUCUCUUGAACGAAGGAAUUGAGCUUGUCCCGGAGCUCUGCGUCCUCAAUCUUGCUCAAGGGAACGAGAUACUCUCGCUGACUGCCGCUGCUGCUGCUGCCACCGCCAGGAAGAUGGCUGCUCCCGACGUAGCGCACCAGGAUGUCAUUCGCCUUCUUUCUUCUUCCCUUCACGAGUAUCCAGAUGCCGGUGACGAUGGCCACCAUAGCAAGCAGGAAAAGGACGAUGCCUGCCGCAAGCAGCCCCGGUGUCGCAAACGCUGCCGCUGCUGCUGCUACUGUUGAUGAUGACGACCCCAGAGGCGGAGCAAUAGACAAGGGGCCAGGCGGAGGCGGCGAUGAAAACGUGUGAAAGACAGGCGACCCUGGUUGCCAUGUUAUCGUGUCAUGAGCGGGCCUUGGCCACCAAGUGGUUGUCCCAGAAGAAGGUGGCGGCCCUGUAUGCUCCUUUGCUGGUGGACGUGGCGGCGGCCCAAACCUCCUUGGUCGCCAAGUGGUUGCCCCGGAAGAAGGUGGCGGCCCUGUAUGCUGCUUUGCUGGUGGAGGUGGGUGCUGCUUUGCUCCUCCUCCGUGGCUGUGCUGCUUUGCUGCUCCGUGGCUUGCUGGUGGCGGUGGCGGACUGUGCUGGUGCUGCUUUGCUGCUCCGUGGCUUGCUGGUGGAGGUGGCGGACUGUGCUGGUGCUGCUUUGCUGCUCCGUGGCUUGCUGGUGGAGGUGGCGGACUGUGCUGGUGCUUCUUUGCUGCUCCGUGGCUUGUUGGUGGCGGACUGUGCUGGUGCUUCUUUGCUGCUCCAUGGCUUGUUGGUGGAGGUGGUGGUGCUCCAUGGCUGUCCUGCUUUGGAGGUGGUGCUCCUCCAUGGCUGUGCUGCUUUGCUGCUCCAUGGUGUUGCUCUGCUGGUGCUGGUGGAGGUGCCUGACUGUGGGCUCUGCUGUGAGGUGGCGGAGCUCCUCUCGCCCUCCUUGGCGAUGGUUUGGGGGGCGGCAUGCUACCUGGAGGUGGCACUCUCGUUUUGGGCGGUGUCGCGCUCCUGUGCCCUGGACGAGGCGGAUGCACGCUCCUGUGCGCAGCUGGAGGCGGCGCCCGACGAGGUGGAGACGACGGCGGCACACUCCGACGGAUGAUGCUAGCCAUAUUUCUUGCUUACCGGAUUCGCUUCCGAGAAACCUUUUUUUUAGGUCAUGAAGGUUUAGUGCAUAUAAAUGAUUCUUGUACGGACGCAUUAUCUGCAGCGCUUUAAAGUUAUGAUGUCCAGUUUUUGCGAUCAUGAUGGAAGCAAUAUCACUGUUCGGAAUCUCUUUCUUUCAUUAUCACAUAAUGCUCAUUUGGUUCUUCCCCCAAAAAAACCGGAGCUCGUUGAUAAACUCUCAGGCUCAAUUCUAGGAGGAAGAGCAAAGAUGAGAAUGGUCGUUCACCACGAUGCAAUGCUCCGUGCGUAAGAAUUUAAUCAAAAUCUCCACUCUGGAAGCUUAUGUUGUUUGAAAAUUCUUUUCAUUGCGUUUUAGGCGUCAAAGAUCGUGUAUUGUGACCUUAUCGACACACACAAAAGAGAGACAGCCCAUAGCAAUGGUUUUUAUAGUUGAAUUUGCUUUGAUGGUGAUUCACUCUUCAAUGGGCACAUGGAUCAGGUAUGCCUAGGGCUAAAGAAAUUGAUGUUUAAUAUUUGAUCAUAGUAAAUAACGACUUAAAUUACCACUAUAUUUAUAGCUUCAUUUUUGGACUUAGUCGUACUACAUAUUUUUUUGUUUAUAACUAUUAUAAUUGACUUAAAACUUAGUCACAAAUAACUACUAAACAUAACAACUAUAUUUUUUGUUUUAUAACCAUUAUAAAUGACUUAAAAUUUAGUCAUAAAUUGCAACUUAGCUUAAGAAAUUUUUUAAUUCUGACUUUAAAGCUAGUCAGAAAUAAUGACUACUAAAAAUAAGUGCAUAUUUUCGUGUCUUAAAUUGCAGUUACAAUAUCAAUGGAAAGCUUAAUGACAGAAAUUUAAGUUGUAUAGCGAAUUAAUGCAAUAACAUAAAACUAAGUCAGGCUCAUGUAGUAAUGGACGAUCUUGUUUGUGUCGGGCACAUUCUACAACAAUGAGCCAACUGCCUGAUCGGGGGGAUGAUGCUGGAUUGAAAGGAGUUCCCCCAGUCAGGAUCAGGAUCACCGAGUAGGAGCUUGAUGCUUCAUAUUGGAUUGUUGUUAAUGUCCAGUGCUGGCUGCUGAGCCCAGGUAAGCUUGAUGCUACUGGGAAUUCAUACUCAAUUGGGAGUGUCCAGCCCUGGCCACUGAGCUUGUGACACAUAAUCGAUGCCAAAAUUCUUCCACACAUACGCAAUCUUGCCAUAGACACCUUGCUUGAUGUUUGUGGAGAAGAUGUUGUGGACGUGGAAGAAGGCCUUGGUGAGGGACUUGCUUAACGUUUGGGGUGACAAAGCACAGCAUAGGCUGAGAGGAAGCUAAAGAACCAUAGCUGAACACUCACCUGGAACUUGGGGACAGCCAUGAAUGAGGAUGUGAAGCUCCUUCCUGAGCUGUAGGAUGACUUUCAAAGUAAAGGAAACACUUUACUGACAAGCACAAAUUCUCACAUCAUGAUGAAACAAGAAGAGCUCAAUCAAUGACCUAUGAUAACAAGAUAGCUGGAACAAGAAGUUAGUAUGUAUAUUCCAAAAUACCCAAUCCUUGUGAUGGCCAAAAGUGUCAUAAUAAAAAUUUAGAAGACCUCGAAUGAGUAGAUAUAUGCAGCUUUUGUUGGAUUUGAUGGGGACACAUUUAGCACAAGAAAAGUGAAGAAUAUUUAGAGCUAAAUCAUCGUCAAUGCUUCAUAUUGUGCAAAGCCCCUUCCAAUGACAAUACUAAUGAUGAAACAAAAUGACAAACUCAUAUAGUUGGCAGAAACAAGGAGCAGCAAAAGAAGCACUCCUUCUUUUGGCACUUGCAAUGUUUUUCUAGAAAGAACAAUAGAACUCUUUGCAAGGUAAUCAUACUAUAUUCAGAAAGUAAUAAACUCCAAAACACCACAAACUUGUAAGUGAGUACUCUUUUCUUGAUCAAUAGUACACAAAAUUCUCCUAUAGCUUGUUUGUUCAUACUCUAGGAAAGCUACCUACAUUAACCAGUAGCUAAAGAGAGAAGUACCCAUAAGAACUACUCAUUGCAAGGCCCUAGUCAUUGUACACUUUCUUCACCUCCUUGAUACAGGCAUUGCCUUUUUUGCCAUAAUUGCUCUUUAGUCUUGCUUUCUGGCUAGCAUCUGCUAGUUCAAUAGCUCUUGGAUAUUUGUUCCAACCUGGACUAUUCAAUGAGCUUGACAUGAAGGACAAAACAGCAAGGAGCCAACCUUGCCAAUAACGUUAGGAUGUUUAUAACAAUCUAAGAAAUCAUCUUGCAGGGGCCAAUUCCAUCAACAACCAAAGGUAAUGAACCACAAGGACCUGAAUUUAAAAAUAGGUUCCCAUUUGUAGUAGUAUUUGUUUCACAUAUUCAAACUUGGAGUUGUCACUCUUGUCUGAGAUAUACAAAGCACAAUUCUCAUAUGACUUCAAUGACUUGGUUUAUAAUGUCACUCUUGCUUGCCGGAAGAUAUAAAGAAUAAAACACUGUCUUGAACUUCACAAUCCUAAGAUAGUUGCAUAGACAAACAUUAUGGAUAUUUAUGGAAUCGAAUAAAACUUACAUUUCCAUCAUGUAUUUGGACAAAUCAACCUUCCUGGCUGGUUUGCAAUGUAAUCAGAUCAACACACCUCAUCAAAAAGUUCACGGAGAUCAAAGUAGUACCACUGACCAUGGAAAUACUUCCUCAAAAUCCUAGGUACAUGGUUUGUAAGCAAUAAUGCAUUAUUCACAGCAAUGAUACCCACCUAAUCACAAAGGAAGACUGUAUCAUAGCUCAUCAAUAAAAUUCACGUAUUGUUGUGUGAAUCAUCCAUUAUAUCAUCCAUUAUUAAGAAGUAAGUUUGCAACUAUACAUGGAAAAGCAAAAGGCAGAAACCAAAACUAUUUAGAAAUUCUUUACUAAUUGAUGCAAGAAUUUACCCAUUCAAUACACCAUCCAAGAGCAAACACUUGUUUGAUUUCAUCUUGGGAGAGCUCAUCUUUGGGCUUGAGUAACACCAAAUUGUCAAUCAUUAAGAGACCUUGAUUUAAUUUUCUAAAUAUUUCUAUAAUUUUGUCCACUUCUAAAAGAAAAACACACUUCUAAGAGCUUUAAAAACUACUUUUUGUACACCCUAUUUGUAAAAUAAGAUUGGCAUUAUUAAUUUAUAUAUAUCAAACUAUUUAUCAUUUCAUAUUUUAUUUCCUCAUAAUUAUUAUCAUUUUUUAGAAUAGUAUGGUAGUUUCUCCCUCCUUAGGUUCUAGAAAGGAUAUUGAAAAUAUAGUAAACAUGAAUUGCUAUGUGAUUCACUCCAAACCUACAUAAAGAACAAAUAAAUGGUUAUAAAUACUAUGAAAAGAAUACCAUUUCAUUAGUUUCCUCUGUCUUCAUCUAGCAAAAGAUGUUGAGAGUUAAUGAGUGAAAAAUAUUAUGAAAAAUUAAUUCACUUACACUAGGGAGUGGGUUAUUCAUUAGCUCAUCUUUGUCUUGAAUAGCCCUUGUGCAACACUUAUGCCAAUACAUCUCCUAAAAUGUCUAGUUUUUGAGAAAUAAAAUAAAAUUUAAAUACCUCUUUUUAGUGUUGAGGACAUGAAAUGCCAUCCUAAAAAGAAUAAACAUUGUAAAUAAAUAGAACCAAUUUAGGGUUGCUUAAUCAGCUUGGUAAGACUUCCAAUUGUUCCUAAUGCAUAGGUAAAGUUGGUAGGAAAUCCUGAAAAUGCUUUGAGUAUUGCCCCUCAAAGUUUGCGUUGCAUUUCUUGGUUAUCACUUAAGUUAGUGUGCUUUAUUGGCAAGUGGAUUCUACAACUAUGAGCAACUAAUGCUAUUGUCUUUGUAGAGUGUUUUUAUUGCCUAUGAGCCCACUUUUUGCCGCAUACUUGCUCCUCCUUUGGCUUUUCCGCUUCUUCGAGAUUUUUUAAUGUUUGGAUUGCAUCCUCUAUUCUUGUUUUGAAGCUCUAAAAUGUCCCACUCUCAAUCUUCUUGAGGAAGUGUAAUGACACUCUAACCACACAAACACUUGUAAUGUAAUUGUGCAAUCCCCCAACAUAGCCCUUUCAAUCUUAUUAGGGUCACUAUCAUUUGUGGAGAAAACAUUUAUAGCCAUCCUUAUACAGUUAUUUAGUUUACAACAUGUUAAAAUUGUGUGGAUAUUGUAGUGGAUGAAAUGGUAAAUUUUAGCAAUAUAUAAUAAUAUUUCAUAUGAGAAUCCUAAACAAGAAAAUACUAAAAUCAGAAAAAAAAAAAAACACCUGUAAACACAACUAAUAUGUUAGAUAUGUAAGGUCAUAAGUUGGAUUUUCUCCAUAAACUUUAUAGCCUUGGAGAAGAGUAAAUGAUUCUUACCUAGCUUAAACAACCAAAUAUUUUUGGUGGAGGAAACAUAAUAAUAAAUGAAAGAAAAGAAAGAAAGUAAAGUGCCUAUAACAUUUUAUAUUCUAUACUUUUCUGAUGUUGCCUAUAAACCCAACACCAAAAAAUAUUGCAAAUUGAACUAUUUAUCUACUCUACCUCUACUAUGAACUCAUGAAGUGAGGACUUAGAAACUACAUGGAAAACUAAUUUUAUAUCUAUAUCAUGGUAGCACUAAAAAAGUCUAUUUCACUUCCAAUUUUAUAAGUAUGCUUUGAAAGAAUCAAUGUUAUACAUGGCUGAAAAACCAUAUGCAUGGGAGAUUGUUACAAAAAAGUGAUAAAAAGUAAAUAAAUUUUUUAUAUUUUGCCAAACAUUAUUCUGAGAAUAAAUGUGAAAAUUAGAAAAUAAUCAAAUCUUUCUGUAUAAUCAAUUUAAUCUCAGUUACAUUUUUUUUUUAACUUUUAUAUACCACCAUUGGAACCAUACCAUCUUUGGUUUGCUUAAGCAAACGGUAGGGGGACUGAAAUGGUAGUGAAUAAACAUAGAAUAUGCUUGAAUAUUUUAGAAUAUUCUACCAUCUAACAGUUGUUAUUUAUUUAGAUUAAUCUUAUAAUUUAUAAACAUGUUUAUAAUUUAUAAACUUUCUUAAACACUUUUUAGUAUAUUCUUUUUUCUUCUACCUGCAAUAAGAUUAAUAUUGUGUUUUAUAAAUAUGUCUAUAAUUUUAAAUUUUUAUUUAAUCAAUUGGAUUAAUAAGUAAGAAUAAUACUACUAUUAAACAAAGUAAAUAUUGCUACAUGCAAUGCAUAGCAAAUUUUUCUGACAGCUACCUGAAACUGAUAGAAAAACAAAAAAAAAAACAAUGUAUGGAAAGAAAACUAGUGUUGUGGUUAAGCUUGAGCAUCUUUAGUAAGGAGAUAUAGUACUCACUUCCAUGACAAAGAUAGCCUCCUUGACAGCCUCGAGGGAGAUGGCACAGGCUCCUCUGGAGGCAGCAGAGGAGACUACUACUGUUGACUUCCCAGCCAAGAUGAGAGCCAACUGCAAAGAUUUCCUGCUCGAGAGCAUCCUGAGAUGCAAAUCUGACUAUCCUCUGGUGAGGCUCAAGGGGGACUUCCAGCAGCACUACACUGGAUCACGUGUGGUAUGGCUUCAAGAAGCUGGAAACUUUCCUGGACUUUGCUGGAGCUGCUCAUAGGCAUUUGGACGGGGUCGGGUGGCCAGAAGCUUCUCCACUUGAAGUAGUUGGAAGAUAACGAGAUCAAGGGCAAGGACAACAUCAAGAACACGUGCUUCUGUUCUUGACGAGGAGGAGGAGCUUGACGAGGUUGCAAUGACUCUGGAACCAGAGGAAGAAAAGAAGAAGAAAGAAAAGGCAAUGGUGGAUGUGAAGAAGUGGAAGAAAGCUACCACGGCUAGUGUCCAGGAAACAUGGAAAGCCCAGCCUCCCGCAAGCAAUGCCAAGGCGCAAGGAGUGAACAAGAGUAGCAGCAGUGGCAAGCUCAAGAUGGGGGGUGGAAAGCUAAGCGUGCAGCUCCCGCCUUGUUUGAGGCUCUGUUUCACAGAGAAUGUGGCUGAGAGUAGCCUCGCUUUCAAGACCUCCAAUCCAUAUGGUGUGACUUGAGCUGCGAAUUUUCGUUAGUACAGUGGACUAACGCUGACUACUAUCAGUCAAUGCUAUCCCAUUACUGUUCUAAUGAGCUCAUUCUUAUGAAUCCAUUGAUGUGCUUAUAAAGCUGGUAAAUAAUUAGUGACUAUCGUUGACUUCUAUGACUACUAUAACCUACUACUUACGAUAAGAAAUGCUAUUGAAAGUUUAUAUUUUUAAAAACAGGAAAUUAAAUGUCCAAAGUGUUUGUUUGAGACUUGCAAUAUAAUCUCCCAAUUCAAUAUCUCUCUGUUGUCUUAAUGAAAUGAAAAGUUGUUGUCUUGUUGCCUUGUUUGAAACUUGCAAAUCAUAAUCUCCUGAUUCAAAUGCCUCCAGACUUCUCCAUCUGUUAUAAUUUCGAUUGAAUACCACGGACCUGCCUUUGCCUGUUGCGGUUUUAAAAAACCGAAGUAAUUUGUUUCAUGAAUCUUCAUUCUGUGCCUGCAACCUCAAGCGUAUCAUCAGUCCAAAACGAGCGAAAAGCGUACCUCCUUUCGCUCUAAGCUCCGUCGAGCUCAAGCUUAACCUCCGAGGUGGAAGGCUAGUUCAAGCAGAAGUUAUACUUUAACUCGAGGCAUGGAGACUGUUUACCUUGGCAUCUGAGUCGUGUACACGAGCAGCCAAAUGCGAACCUCCAGAAUUGGCCGAGUGAUUUGCCUCAACCACUGGCUUCUCCAGAUUCUCCACCUCACGGAUCCUAAAAGUGCUCCAUUAGUCACUGGUUCUAUCUCUCAAGCAUGAAGACUUACCUGUGGGAGUGCUUGUUGCCAGGCCUCCUCAUCCCAAACUCGGUGAUCCUUUGCAUGUGCUUCUCCAUCUCAACUCGCUUCUCCGCUGCUGUCGCAAGCCGAACAACGAAAGCAUCUCCAGGAUCGAACACAGUGCCACGAUGAGACACUGGAUCCAAAGCCUGUUCCUGGGCUCUUCGAUCAUUGCCGCUCCGACGAGCAGCACUCGACAAGAAUGGAUCCUCCGGGAGAGAAGCUCUUGGCACCUUCUUGUGCUCGUCGACUCCGUGGAUCGCUGCUGGUGGAUCUCGUCCCAAUGGCGGCGUCAGGCGGUCGUCAACCGAAUCGGUAGCAGCACCAUAGAUUGGAUUCAUCUUGAGAAAAGCCGAAGGUGGCAGCCGCCUUGGAGGCCUCGCGAGUGGAGGACUGGCCACCUUUGUGCUGGGAUUUAGCUGCGACGGUCGAAGGUGCUGCUCGCUCCUCUCUUGAACGAAGGAAUUGAGCUUGUCCCGGAGCUCUGCGUCCUCAAUCUUGCUCAAGGGAACGAGAUACUCUCGCUGACUGCCGCUGCUGCUGCUGCCACCGCCAGGAAGAUGGCUGCUCCCGACGUAGCGCACCAGGAUGUUGUUCGCCUUCUUUCUUCUUCCCUUCACGAGUAUCCAGAUGCCAGUGAUGAUGGCCACCAUAGCAAGCAGGAAAAGGACGAUGCCUGCCACAAGCAGCCCCGGUGUCGCAAACGCUGCCGCUGCUGCUGCUGCUGUUGAUGAUGACGACCCCAGAGGCGGAGCAAUAGACAAGGGGCCAGGCGGAGGCGGCGAUGAAAACGUGUGAAAGACAGGCGACCCUGGUUGCCAUGUUAUCGUGUCAUGAGCGGGCCUGGCCACCAAGUGGUUGUCCCAGAAGAAGGUGGCGGCCCUGUAUGCUCCUUUGCUGGUGGAGGUGGCGGCGGCCCAAACCUCCUUGGUCGCCAAGUGGUUGUCCCGGAAGAAGGUGGCGGCCCUGUAUGCUGCUUUGCUGGUGGAGGUGGGUGCUGCUUUGCUCCUCCUCCGUGGCUGUGCUGCUUUGCUGCUCCGUGGCUUGCUGGUGGCGGUGGCGGACUGUGCUGGUGCUGCUUUGGUGCUCCAUGGUUUGUUGGUGGCGGACUGUGCUGGUGCUGCUUUGCUGCUCCGUGGCUUGCUGGUGGAGGUGGCGGACUGUGCUGGUGCUGCUUUGCUGCUCCAUGGCUUGUUGGUGGCGGACUGUGCUGGUGCUGCUUUGCUGCUCCGUCGCUUGCUGGUGGAGGUGGCGGCCUGUGCUGGUGCUUCUUUGCUGCUCCAUGGCUUGCUGGUGGAGGUGGCGGACUGUGCUGGUGCUUCUGUGCUGCUCCGUGGCUUGCUGGUGGAGGUGGCGGACUGUGCUGGUGCUUCUUUGUUGCUCCGUGGCUUGUUGGUGGCGGACUGUGCUGGUGCUUCUUUGCUGCUCCAUGGCUUGUUGGUGGAGGUGGUGGUGCUCCAUGGCUGUCCUGCUUUGCAGGUGGUGCUCCUCCAUGGCUGUGCUGCUUUGCUGCUCCAUGGUGUUGCUCUGCUGGUGCUGGUGGAGGUGCCUGACUGUGGGCUCUGCUGUGAGGUGGCGGAGCUCCUCUCGCCCUCCUUGGCGAUGGUUUGGGGGGCGGCAUGCUACCUGGAGGUGGCACUCUCGUUUUGGGCGGUGUCGCGCUCCUGUGCCCUGGACGAGGCGGAUGCACGCUCCUGUGCGCAGCUGGAGGCGGCGCCCGACGAGGUGGAGACGACGGCGGCACACUCCGACGGAUGAUGCUAGCCAUAUUUCUUGCUUACCGGAUUCGCUUCCGAGAAACCUUUUUUUUAGGUCAUGAAGGUUUAGUGCAUAUAAAUGAUUCUUGUACGGACGCAUUAUCUGCAGCGCUUUAAAGUUAUGAUGUCCAGUUUUUGCGAUCAUGAUGGAAGCAAUAUCACUGUUCGGAAUCUCUUUCUUUCAUUAUCACAUAAUGCUCAUUUGGUUCUUCCCCCAAAAAAACCGGAGCUCGUUGAUAAACUCUCAGGCUCAAUUCUAGGAGGAAGAGCAAAGAUGAGAAUGGUCGUUCACCACGAUGCAAUGCUCCGUGCGUAAGAAUUUAAUCAAAAUCUCCACUCUGGAAGCUUAUGUUGUUUGAAAAUUCUUUUCAUUGCGUUUUAGGCGUCAAAGAUCGUGUAUUGUGACCUUAUCGACACACACAAAAGAGAGACAGCCCAUAGCAAUGGUUUUUAUAGUUGAAUUUGCUUUGAUGGUGAUUCUCGGAAUCACUCUUCAAUGGGCGACAUGGAUCUGGGGCUAAAGAAAUUGAUGUUUAAUAUUUGAUCAUAGACUUAAAUUACCACUAUAUUUAUAGCUUCAUUUUUGGACUUAAAAUUUAGUCGUACUACAUAUUUUUGGUUUAUAACUAUUAUAAUUGACUUAAAUUUUAGUCACAAUUAACUACUAAACAUAACGACUAUAUUUUUUGUUUUAUAACCAUUAUAAAUUACUUAAAAUUUAGUCAUAAAUUGGAACUGCAAAUGUCAACUUAAGAAAUUUUUUAAUUCUGACUUUAAAGCUAGUAAGAAAUAAUGACUACUACAAAUAACUGCAUAUUUUAACUUUUGUGUCUUAAAUUGUAGUUACAAUAUCAAUGGAAAGCUUAAUGACAAAAAUUUAAGUUGUAUAGCAAAUUAAUGCAAUAACUUAAAACUAAGUUGGGCUCGUGUAGUAAUGGACGAUCUUGUUUGUGUCAGGCACAUUUUACAACAAUGAGCCAACUGCCUGAUUGGGGGAGGAUGAUGCUGGAUCGAAAGGAGUUCCCCCAAUCAGGAUCUAGAUCACCCAAUAGGAGCUUGAUGCUUCAUACUGGAUUGUUGCCAAUGUCCAGGCUGCUAAGCCCAUGUAAGCUUGAUGCUACUGGGAAUUCAUACUCAAUUGGGAGUGUCCAGCCCUAACCACCAAGCUUGUGACACAUAAUCGAUGCCAAAAUUCUUCCACACAUACGCAAUCUUGCCAUAGACACCUUGCUUGAUGUUUGUGGAGAAGAUGUUGUGGACGUGGAAGAAGGCCUUGGUGAGGGACUUGCUUAACGUUUGGGUUGACAAAGCACAGCAUAGGCUGAGAGGAAGCUAAAGAACCAUAGCUGAACACUCACCUGGAACUUGGGGACAGCCAUGAAUGAGGAUGUGAAGCUCCUUCCUGAGCUGUAGGAUGACUUUCAAAGUAAAGGAAACACUUUACUGACAAGCACAAAUUCUCACAUCAUGAUGAAACAAGAAGAGCUCAAUCAAUGACCUAUGAUAACAAGAUAGCUGGAACAAGAAGUUAGUAUGUAUAUUCCAAAAUACCCAAUCCUUGUGAUGGCCAAAAGUGUCAUAAUAAAAAUUUAGAAGACCUCAAAUGAGCAGAUAUAUGCAGCUUUUGUUGGAUUUGAUGGGGACACAUUUAGCACAAGAAAAGUGAAGAAUAUUUAGAGCUAAAUCAUCGUCAAUGCUCCACAUAUGACAAUACUAAUGAUGAAACAAAAUGACAAACUCAUAUAAUAGUUGGCAGAAACAAGGAGCAGCGAAAGAAGCACUCCUUCUUUUGGCACUUGCAAUGUUUUUCUAGAAAGAACAAUAGAACUCUUUGCAAGGUAAUCAAACUGUAUUCAUAAAGUAAUAAACUCCAAAACACCUUGUAAGUGAGUACUCUUUUCUUGAUUAAUAGUACACAAAAUUCUUCUAUAGCUUGUUUGUUCAUACUCUAGGAAAGCUACCUACAUUAACCAGUAGCUAAAGAGAGAAGUACCUAAGCAAAAUACUCAUUGCAAGGCCCUAGUUAUUGUACACUUUCUUCACCUCCUUGACAUAGGCGUUUUCUUUUUUGCCAUAAUUGCUCUUUAGUCUUGCUUUCUGGCUAGCAUCUGCUAGUUCAAUAGCUCUUGGAUAUUUGUUCCAACCUGGACAAUUCAAUGAGCUUGACAUGAAGGACAAAACAGCAAAGAACAAACCUUGCCAAUAAACGUUAGGAUGUUUAUAACAAUCUAAGAAAUCAUCUUGCAGGGGCCAAUUCCAUCAACAACCAAAGGUAAUGAACAAGGACCUGAAUUUAAAAACAGAUUCAAACUUGGAGUUGUCACUCUUGUUUGAUAUAUACAAAGCACAAGCAACAUGUAUUCUCAUAUGACUUCAAUGACUUGAUUUAUAAUGUCACUCUUGCUUGCCAGAAGAUAGAAAGAAUAAAACACUGUCUUGAACUUCACAAUCCUGAGAUAGUUGCAUAGACAAACAUUAUGGAUAUUUAUGGAAUCAAAUAAAACUUAUAUUUCCAUCAUGUAUUUGGACAAAUCAACCUUCCUGGCUGGUUUGCAAUGUAAUCAGAUCAACACACCUCAUCAAAAAGUUCACGGAGAUCAAAGUAGUACCACUGACUAUGGAAAUACUUCCUUAAAAUCUUAGGUACAUGGUUUGUAAGCAAUAAUGCAUUAUUCACAACAAUGAUACCCACCUAAUCACAAAGGAAGAUUGUAUCAUAGCUCAUCAAUAAAAUUCAUGUACUGUUGUAUGAAUCAUCCAUUAUAUCAUCCAUUACUAGGAAGUAAACUUGUAGCUUUGCAUGGAAAAGCAAAAGGCAGAAACCAAAACUAUUUAGAAAUUCUUUACCAAUUGAUGUAAGAACUUACCCAUUCAAUACACCAUCCAAGAGCAAAUGCUUGCUUGAUUUCAUCCUGGGAGAGCUCAUCUUUGGACUUGAGUAACACCAAAUUGUCAAUCACUGAGAGACCUUGAUUUAAUUUUCUAAACAUUUCUAUAAUUUGUCCACUUCUAAAAGAAAAACACACUUCUAAGAGCUCUAAAAACUACCUUUUGUACACCUCUAUUUGUAAAAUAAGAUUGGCAUUAUUAAUCUAUAUAUAUCAAACUAUUUAUCAUUUCAUAUUUUAUUUCCUCAUAAAUAACUGGAAUGAUAGUGAAUAUAUGGUAGUUUCUCCCUCCUCAGGUUCUAGAAAGNNNNNNNNNNNNNNNNNNNNNNNNNNNNNNNNNNNNNNNNNNNNNNNNNNNNNNNNNNNNNNNNNNNNNNNNNNNNNNNNNNNNNNNNNNNNNNNNNNNNNNNNNNNNNNNNNNNNNNNNNNNNNNNNNNNNNNNNNNNNNNNNNNNNNNNNNNNNNNNNNNNNNNNNNNNNNNNNNNNNNNNNNNNNNNNNNNNNNNNNNNNNNNNNNNNNNNNNNNNNNNNNNNNNNNNNNNNNNNNNNNNNNNNNNNNNNNNNNNNNNNNNNNNNNNNNNNNNNNNNNNNNNNNNNNNNNNNNNNNNNNNNNNNNNNNNNNNNNNNNNNNNNNNNNNNNNNNNNNNNNNNNNNNNNNNNNNNNNNNNNNNNNNNNNNNNNNNNNNNNNNNNNNNNNNNNNNNNNNNNNNNNNNNNNNNNNNNNNNNNNNNNNNNNNNNNNNNNNNNNNNNNNNNNNNNNNNNNNNNNNNNNNNNNNNNNNNNNNNNNNNNNNNNNNNNNNNNNNNNNNNNNNNNNNNNNNNNNNNNNNNNNNNNNNNNNNNNNNNNNNNNNNNNNNNNNNNNNNNNNNNNNNNNNNNNNNNNNNNNNNNNNNNNNNNNNNNNNNNNNNNNNNNNNNNNNNNNNNNNNNNNNNNNNNNNNNNNNNNNNNNNNNNNNNNNNNNNNNNNNNNNNNNNNNNNNNNNNNNNNNNNNNNNNNNNNNNNNNNNNNNNNNNNNNNNNNNNNNNNNNNNNNNNNNNNNNNNNNNNNNNNNNNNNNNNNNNNNNNNNNNNNNNNNNNNNNNNNNNNNNNNNNNNNNNNNNNNNNNNNNNNNNNNNNNNNNNNNNNNNNNNNNNNNNNNNNNNNNNNNNNNNNNNNNNNNNAUAUCCACGCAAUUUUGACAUGUUGUAAGCUAAAUAUAUUUAGCUUACAACAUCUCAAAAUUGUGUAAAUAUUAUAGUGGAUGCAAUGGUAAAUUUUAGCAAUAUAUAAUAAUAUUGCAUACGUAAACAACAAAAUACUAAAAUCAGAUUAAAAACACCUGUAAACACAACUAAUAUGUUAGAUAUGUAAGGACACAAGUUGGAUUUUCUCCAAAACUUUAUAGCCUUAGAGAAGAGUAAAUAAUCCUUGCCUAGCUUAAAUAGCCAAAUAUGUUUGGUGGAGUAAACAUAAUAAUAAAUGAAAGAAAGGAAAACAAAUAAAGUGCCUAUAACUUUCUAUAUUCUAUACUUUUCUGAUGUUGCUUAUAAACUCAACACCAAAAUAUAUUGCAAAUUGAACUAUUUAUCUCUUCUACUUCUAUCAUGAAUUCAUGAAGUGAGGACUUAGAAACAACAUGGAAAACUAAUUUUAUAACUAUAUCAUGGUAGUGCUAAAAUUUUUUAUUUCAAUUCCAAUUUUACAAGUAUGCUUUGAAAGAAUCAAUGUUAUAUAUGGCUGAAAAACCAUAUAUGUGGGAGAUUGUUACAAAAAAGUGGUAAAAAGUAAAUAAACUUUUUAAAAUUUUCAUUUAUAAAAAUCAACUAUAUUUAUGCCAAACAUUAAUCUGAAAAUAAAUGUUAAAAUUAGAAAAAUAAUCAAAUAUUUUUGUAUAAACAAUUUAUCUCAGUUACUUAUAUUUUUUAGCUUUUAUAUACCACUAUUGGAACCAUACCAUUUUUGGUUUGCUUAAGGGGGACUGGAAUGAUAGUGAAUAUACUUAGAAUAUCCUUGGAUAUUCUAAGAUAUUCUACCAUCUAAUGGUUGUUAUUCAUUUAGAUUAAUCUUGUAUUUAUAAUUAUAAACUUGUUUAUAAUUUAUAAACUUUCUUAAACACUUUUUAGUAUAUUCUUUUUUAUUCUCCCAUCUAAUGGUUGAUAUGCAAUAUGAUUAAUCUUGUGUUUAUAAAUUAUAAAUAUGUUUAUAAUUAUAAUCAUUUGGAUUAAUAAGUAAGAAUAAUACUACUAUUAAGAAAAUUAAAUGUUGCUACAUAGCAAAUUUGUGUAAUAGCUACCUGAAACCUAUAUAAAAACUAAAAAAAAACCAUGUAUGGAAAGAAAACUAGUGUUGUGGUUAAGCUUGAGCAUCUUUAGUAAGGAGAUAUAGUACUCACUUCCACAACAAAGAUAGCCUCCUUGACAGCCUCGAGGGAGAUGGCACAGGCUCCUCUGGAGGGAGCAGCCAUUGCCAAAGGGUACUACUGUCAACUUCCCAGCGAAGAUGAGAGCCAACUGAAAAGAUUUUCUGCUUGACAACAUCCCAAGAUGCAAAUCUGACUAUCCUCUGGUGAGGCUCAAGGGGGACUUCCAGGAGCACUUGGUAUAGCUUCAAGAAACUUGAAACUUUCCUGGACUUUGCUGGAGCUGCUCAUAGGCAUCAGGACGGGGUCGGGCGGCCAGAAGCUUCUCCACUUGAAGGAGUUGGAAGAUAACAAGAUCAAGGGCAAGGACAACAUCAAGAACACGUGCUUCUGUUCUUGACGAGGAAGAGGAGCUUGACGAGGUUGCACCAGAGGAAGAAAAGAAGAAGAAAGAAAAGGCAAUGGUGGAUGUGAAGAAGUGGAAGAAAGCUACCACGGCUAGUGUCCAGGAAACAUGGAAAGCCCAGCCUCCCGCAAGCAAUGCCAAGGCGCAAGGAGUGAACAAGAGUAGCAGCAGUGGCAAGCUCAAGAUGGGGGGUGGAAAGCUAAGCGUGCAGCUCCGCCUUGUUUGAGGCUCUGUUUCACAGAGAAUGUGGCUGAGAGUAGCCUCGCUUUCAAGACCUCCAAUCCAUUAUCCAUGAUGGAUUGAUUGAUUAUCAUGGUGUGACUUGAGCUGCGAAUUUUCGUUAGUAGGGUGGACUAACGCUGACUACUAUCAGUCAACGCUGCUCAUUACUGUUCUAAUGAGCUCAUUCUAAUGAAUUCAUUGAUGUGCUUAUAAAGCUGGUAAAGAAAUAGUGACUAACGUUGACUGCUAUGACUAGUAUAAUCUACUACUUACGAUAAGAAAUGUUAUUGAAAGUUUAUAUUUUUAAAAACAGGAAAUUAAAUGUCCAAAGUGUUUGUUUGAGACUUGCAAUAUAAUCUCCCAAUUCAAUAUCUCUCUGUUGUCUUAAUGAAAAGUUGUUGUCUUGUUGCCUUGUUUGAGACUUGCAAAUCAUAAUCUCCUAAUUCAAAUGCCUCCAGACUUCUCCAUCUGUUAUAAUUUUGAUUCAAUACCACGGACCUGCCUGUGCCUGUUGCGGUUUAAAAAAACCGAAGUAAUUUGUUUCAUGAAUCUUCAUUCUGUGCCUGCAACCUCAAGCGUAUCAUCAGUCCAAAACGACCGAAAAGCGUACCUCCUUUCGCUCUAAGCUCCGUCGAGCUCCAGCUUAACCUCCGAGGUGGAAGGCUAGUUCAAGCAGAAGUUAUACUUUAACUCGAGGCAUGGAGACUGUUUACCUUGGCAUCUGAGUCGUGUACACGAGCAGCCAAAUGCGAACCUCCAGAAUUGGCCGAGUGAUUUGCCUCAACCACGGGCUUCUCCAGAUUCUCCACCUCACGGAUCCUAAAAGUGCUCCAUUAGUCACUUGUUCUAUCUCUCAAGCAUGCGGGCCGAACAACGAAAGCAUCUCCAGGAUCAAACACAGUGCCACGACGAGACACUGGAUCCAAGCCUGUUCCUGGGCUCUUCGAUCAUUGCCGCUCCGACGAGCAGCACUCGACAAGCAUCUCCAGGAUCAAACACAGUGCCACGACGAGACACUGGAUCCAAAGCCUGUUCCUGGGCUCUUCGAUCAUUGCCGCUCCGACGAGCAGCACUCGACAAGAAUGGAUCCUCCGGGAGAGAAGCUCUUGGCACCUUCUUGUGCUCGUCGACUCCGUGGAUCGCUGCUGGUGGAUCUCGUCCCAAUGGCGGCGUCAGGCGGUCGUCACUCCACUUGCGAGGCCUCCAAGGCGACUGCCAGCUUUGGCUUUUCUCAAGACGAAUCCAAUCUAUGGUGCUGCUACAGAUUCGGUUGACUGGCCACCUUUGUGCUGGCAUUUAGCUGCGACGGUCGAAGGUGCUGCUUGCUCCUCUCUUGAACGAAGGAAUCGAGCUUGUCCCAGAGCUCUGCGUCCUCAAUCUUGCUCAAGGGAACGAGAUACUCUCGCUGACUGCCGCUGCUGCUGCUGCCACCGCCAGGAAGAUGGCUGCUUCCGACGUAGCACACCAGGAUGUCGUUCGCCUUCUUUCUUCUUCCCUUCACGAGUAUCCAGAUGCCGGUGAUGAUGGCCACCAUAGCAAGCAGGAAAAGGACGAUGCCUGCCACAAGCAGCCCCGGUGUCGCAAACGCUGCCGCUGCUGCUGCUGCUGUUGAUGAUGACGACCCCAGAGGCGGAGCAAUAGACAAGGGGCCAGGCGGAGGCGGCGAUGAAAACGUGUGAAAGACAGGCGACCCUGGUUGCCAUGUUAUCGUGUCAUGAGCGGGCCUUGGCCACCAAGUGGUUGUCCCAGAAGAAGGUGGCGGCCCUGUAUGCUCCUUUGCUGGUGGAGGUGGGUGCUGCUUUGCUCCUCCUCCGUGGCUGUGCUGCUUUUCUGCUCGCUUGCUGGUGGCGGUGGCGGACUGUGCUGGUGCUGCUUUGCUGCUCCAUGGCUUGUUGGUGGCGGACUGUGCUGGCGCUGCUUUGCUGCUCCGUGGCUUGCUGGUGGAGGUGGCGGACUGUGCUGGUGCUUCUUUGCUGCUCCGUGGCUUGUUGGUGGCGGACUGUGCUGGUGCUUCUUUGCUGCUCCAUGGCUUGUUGGUGGAGGUGGUGGUGCUCCAUGGCUGUCCUGCUUUGGAGGUGGUGCUCCUCCAUGGCUGUGCUACUUUGCUGCUCCAUGGUGUUGCUUUGCUGGUGCUGGUGGAGGUGCCUGACUGUCGGCGCUGCUGUGAGGUGGCGGAGCUCCUCUCGCCCUCCUUGGCGAUGGUUUGGGGGGCGGCAUGCUACCUGGAGGUGGCACUCUCGUUUUGGGGGGUGUCGCGCUCCUGUGCCCUGGACGAGGCGGAUGCACGCUCCUGUGCGCAGCUGGAGGCGGCGCCCGACGAGGUGGAGACGACGGCGGCACACUCCGACGGAUGAUGCUAGCCAUAUUUCUUGCUUACCGGAUUCGCUUCCGAGAAACCUUUUUUUUAGGUCAUGAAGGUUUAGUGCAUAUAAAUGAUUCUCGUACGGACGCAUUAUCUGCAGCGCUUUAAAGUUAUGAUGUCCAGUUUUUGCGAUCAUGAUGGAAGCAAUAUCAGUGUUCGGAAUCUCUUUCUUUCAUUAGCACAUAAUGCUCAUUUGGUUCUUCCCCCAAAAAAACCGGAGCUCGUUGAUAAACUCUCAGGCUCAAUUCUAGGAGGAAGAGCAAAGAUGAGAAUGGUCGUUCACCACGAUGCAAUGCUCCGUGUGUAAGAAUUUGAUCAAAAUCUCCACUCUGGAAGCUCAUGUUCUUUGAAAAUUCUUUUCAUUGCGUUUUAGGCCUCAAGAGAACUGCUGGCCCUUUCGAUCCAGCAUCAUCGGGGGAGCCGAUGAGGCAGUUGGCUCCAUCAUCGGCCGCAGCGCCACGCUUGUCUCGCCCAGCGUCCGCUACAAGGCGAGGAUGCAGCACGACUGUAACUUUGUGCUCUAGGACACUUACCGCGACACGAACAAGGUGGUGUGGGCACACUGGAUGCUCCCAUGCCCUGUCUAAACAUUUUGCCCCAUUUUCCACAUGAUUGAGAUUCCAAAUCUGAUAUUUACCUGGAUGGUCACGCCUAGCUCAACUUCUUUUUGCACUGGGUAUUUACUUGAAUGUACGUUGGAGUUAUAAUUAUUUACUUAUUGUAAAGUCUACAAAAUAAAUACACUAGUUAUGGUAUAAGUAGCAAAUAGCUGAUAUUUAGGGUUCUUGGGAUUUUAUUAGGUUGCCCAUACCAGGAAUAUUCGUAAGCUCUUCAUUGAUUCUUUUUCCCCAGAAUAUUCUUUGUGCGUUUUGGACAUUCCUUGCCUUCUAGCGCGCAAUCUGGCGCUUGGCCUGAUCAAUCUGUCCCAGCGAUUCAUCCGGGGCGCGCUGCUCGUCACUCCCGAGCUUCUCCUGCGCGGAUCGGACGAGCCCCCCAGCCGCCUCGUCGUGCUCCCGGGCUACCUCGUUUGGCUGCGAGGCAUGGUGCUUGCCCGAAAGCCCCUUCUUGGCGCCCUCGAAUUCGUCCUUGAGCAUAGCCUUGGCGUCGUCCAGGCCGCUCCGUCCCUCGCCCUCAUCGUCACCUGCGCUGCCGGAUUUCGCUUUCUCUGCCUGCUCAUAUUUCUCUUUGAGGGCCUGCUGCGCGGCGUCUAGGGGCGUUCCAACCUCGGACAGCUCCCUGCAUUAAACGAGGGAUCAAACAAGAGAAAGAAUCACUCUCCCUGAUAGAUCAUCGAUCACACAAGAGCUCGAUAACUCACUCGGAGGAGUUGAGAUCUCCAAUCCGCUACGUAUGCAAAGACGCGAUUGUCGUCAAACAACAACACAAAGACAAAUCAAAAGGAUCUUACCUCGCCUGACGACAUGAUCGCACCGAUUGAUCCAGAGAAAGAAAGAGCCGCAACGAAAGUUUAUGCUGUUCGAUCGAACUAGUUGGCUAAGCGACACCUGGUUUACACCACGUGUCUAGCAUAGAUGACUUUUAUUGACCAAAGACUAUUGAGCAUGCUAAAUUAGCUUAUAUAUACCGAAUGUAUCUCGCACACCGGACCAGUGGAGUUUCGAUUCGGGGAGAGAUCUGGUGCUUCUCUAGCACUGGAGAAGAGAGAGCUUUGGGGGAGCGAUGGAGGUGCAAGCAGCUGGCCAUAAUGUUGCAAUGGUUUUAAAGAGGGUAGGACAAUCGCUGGGCAUGGACUCGGUUAUCUCUUUGCGUAGUGUAAAUCUGUGAACACAGUUUGCUUGCUGGUAGGAAUGGGGGCAGUUUAGCGCUUGGCGACAACUUUCUUGUCUAACAGAAUGACCUCCGAGAAGUGCAAAAGACUUUGUACCAGGUCCGAUGCCCAUGACCUUCAUAAACAGUUAACUAUUUAUCUGUUCUGGGAUCAAAUGGCAGUCCUAACUUAGAACCCCAGGAUGCCCACCUAGUACAGUACGGCUAUGGUGUUCUAUGGUGGAGCCCGUACCAGGGAACCCGGCAUAAGCGAACCUGGCAUACCUUUAUUGGUUCUAGAAAAAUGUUCAAAUGCCAGGUAAGCAAUAAUACCUUGUUUUUCAAAUUAAUAGAGUAAUACUUAGUUUAGAAUAUUUGUAACAAAUCUGGGUCGAUCCAGCCUUUGGCAGCCGUCGGAUCAAAUCAGGUUCUCAGUGAGAACAUGGCUCACAACUGCCAGGUUCUCCAGAACCCAGCUGCCAGUUGCCAGUUCUGGAGAGAACCCUCUCAUCCUUAAAUAGCAUUAUUCCACGUGUCCAUUAGCAGUAGGCCGUUCCCUAGUCAUUCUCAAGAACCCAGCUGCCACCUAGGUUCUGAACAACCCUCUCAUCCUCAAAUAACGUUAUUCAUUAAGAGUUUUGCCACAGCCUGUUAAGGCCGUGGCUCGCCUAUUCUGGACGGGAACUCCUUUUUCAUACACAAUUAUCUAGAACUAUACAGCUCAUGUCACAUAUUUUUAUUGCCAGCUAUGUAAUAAUACAAGUUCUUCAGACCCACGUCACAUACUUAAAUACGUAAGCAAUUCAGCCAGAUGUUCUAUUGGAUAUUCUGACUGGAAAAAAUUAAAUUAUAUGUUAAAAGAGCGUAAGCGUGAAAAACGUGUGAGCUAACAAACAAAACAGCCACUGUUGGCAUCGACGACUCAUUGAUGCUACAUAAACUGCGAGCAAGAGAGUUUCUCAAACCAAGUCCUCUCUUUUCUAGCUUGGAGGAGAGUGAGAGUUUACAAAGUCUAGCUAGAUACUUGGUCACUCGAGAGCUUGUUCAGCUAGUUCUUAGAAAAGCAGCCGCUCGCAAGCUUUUUAAGAGUUCUCUGUCUAGAUACUUAAAAGCGUAGCUACAGCGAGAGCGAGUGUUGCCUUAGAAUCGAUCGAAAGCUUCGCUUACCCCGAAUGGCUCUAGCUGCGAAGUGGCGAUCCGUCCAAGGUCAGGAUCACUGGGAAGGCAUGCUGGAGCCUCUGGACAAGGACCUGUGCCAGGAGCUCAUCCGCUACGCGCAGUUCAUCCAAGUGGUCUACGACUCGCUCAACAAGAACCCCGUCUCCAAGGCCAAUGGCCUGUCGCGCUAUGCCAAGUCGGAGCUCUUCGACAAGCUUCACGUCAAGGCCAAUUACACCAUCCGGAACUUCUUCUACUGCACCACCGAUCUCGAGACUCUGCUGGGCAAAGUCGUAGAGACAGUCCUCGACUUCACGGACCCAAACACUUCUUGGUUUGGAUACGUUGCCGUGUCGGACGACGAAGAAACUCGGAGGCUCGGCCGGAGGGACAUCGUCGUGGUCUUUCGAGGCACGCAGCAGGACAUCGAAUGGGCCAGCAACAUACUUAACUCGUUCCACGGCCAGAUAGGCAAGCCGGAGCCUAAGUCCGGCCUUCCACCGCUCCAAACUCCGACUUCUACUCCCACAGGGUUCCUGUCCGGCCUCACCAACAUUCAGCUUCCCUGGGAGAAGGUCCUUAUCGCGAACCGCUGGCUGGCACCUUACACCGGGAAGAACCCCCAGGAGCCUCUUGGUUUCGGGAAGAAGUCGGCCAGAGAGCAGAUCUCCGCGGCUGUGACCUCGCUCCUCAACGAGUACAAGGCCGAGGAGAUGAGCAUCACUGUCACCGGACACAGCCUCGGUGCGUCACUGGCGACUGUUUGCGCGUAUGAUAUCGCCAAUGAGAAGUUGAACGUGAAUCCUUCCACGAAGAAAGUCAUCCCCGUCACUUGUUUCCCUUUCGCUUCUCCUUACGUUGGCAACGAGGAGUUCAAGACCGCUGCCGAGAAGAUCGAAGGCCUCCGGAUCCUGAGAGUGACCAACAUCUGGGACCUGGUUCCAAAGGUGCCACCGCUGCUCUGGGGAUACAGGCACGUCGGGAUAGAGCUCACCAUCGAUACUUCCAAGUCGAGCUAUCUCAAGUUUCCGACCACGGACCCUUUCGAUCACCACAAUCUUCAAGCGCAUUGCCAUCUCGUCGGUAACAAAGUGGAGCCGCUCAAGUACCACCACUUAGAGCUUGUGAACAAAUCGUCCAACCUCUUGAAGGAUUCUAUAGUUCCCGGUAACUGGUGGGUGGUGGAGAACACCGACGUUGUGGUGAACGAGGCUGGGCGAUGGGCACUCAAGGAGUACAACAUCAGUGCGGACAACAACGAGUAUAACUGAGAGAAGAAAGUGAGGUUUUUUCAGUGGUGUGCUCUACAACAAUAACUGGAAUAAUGCUCAGAAAUAAAAAAUCAGAAGUGUUUGGCUGUUCCUUGCAAAGCCCAUGUGAAGGGGCUUUAUAAAAAAUGACCAUUGCUCACUGUGAUGAAAAUAUCUCCUACGAGUUUGUUGGGAGGUCUUCUUCUUCCUUUUCACGCCUGCACACAAUUCUUGCAGAAAUGUAUUUUAUAAGCGACACACCACUGUCUUGCACAGUUUUUUUUAUCUUUGGAACUUUUCAUAUCAUGCUGGCACCAGCAUCCUAUCCUGAAAUACUUCCAGAUCUUUAUGAAGGAGGUGCAAAACAAAAACAAGAAAAACAAAAACAAGGCAAGAGAGCACCACAAACAAAAGAAAAACCAACAAAAAGAAAAUGUAUUCAUAGUUUUUGUAUGAAUUAUAUUAAAAAUAGAAAUUUUUAAUAAAAAGGAUAGUUCGUUGAUAUUUUUAUAUAGGGGUUUUUAUAUAAGUUCCACACUCCUUUACUAAACCUCCAACCAUUCUCAAGGUUGGAUUCUUCUUCUUGGGAGGUGCUUCUCCAAAAGGCAACCAUGCAGUGAAUCCAUUAGGUACAAGCUCUUGAUCUAACCUAUUUUCCCCCUCCCAUAAGAACAUCGUGAAACAGCUCGAUGGAUGUAACUGUGCUGCUUAGGUUUGCUCUUUCAGUCCCUCUCCAGCCUGAUAUGAAUCAAUAGUCAAGCCUUGAGCAUCAUGCUCCAGUCAGUCAGCCAUCUUCUUCACUCUCAGUGCGUCUCCAAGUAUUCCUGGAGUGGGAGUUCAGAUGAGAGCUUUGGUUUCUUCCUCUCUUCGUCCCCAAGAUACUUCGACCAAGAGCUCUACUGACCAUUGUGGCUUUCAAGCCUCUUGGAAGCCAUUUACGUUUGAAAGUGUCUAUUGCUAGUGAAUUAGAGCAGAAAGAGAUGAUCAGCAAGAAUGAAAACUUCUUUUAUUCCUGUUAUCCAUUUUGGCCUUGUAUGCCUUUUCCACACUUUGCCUCUCUUUCCUUUCUCUUGUUGUUCUCAAGGAUCUACUAACAUUCUCAAAAUGUAAGAGCUUGAUAGCUUACUUUAAGUUCAUUUAGGCACCGAACACCUCAACAUAGUUGCAUUCCCUCUCACAUAUUUUCUUGUGGUGCUCCAAAUCGUAUAUCAUCGUUGUCAAAACCUGAGAGGAGGACAACAUACAGUCAACUUUCAUACAUCACAAGCCAAAACUCUAGAACGUUGGAUUUCUGGAGGCUCUCCCAGAAAAAGAGGUUCACACAUGAAUCCAUAAAGAAUUAAAGAACAAUGAGAAAAUAUACAUGAAGAAGGAUUUAUUGUUCUCUCCAGGAUCUUAUCUCUUGUCUAGCUAGUGCAUUAUGGCCAGCAGCACAUCAUCAGUUGGGACCAUGAACCUAUCUCUGGCAACUUCUAAAACACCAGCACAAAUAGAAGAAGAAGCUAGUGUAGAAGUAAAGGAAGCAAUGGCUAAGUACCAACUGUAGAAGAACUCCUCCUUCUCUAGGUUGUUGAAGGUCAAAUAACUCAUCUUGAAUGAGCCAACGUGAUCAAACAGUGAGGCUCUCAUGGCACUUGAUGCUCAGCUUGCAGCAAGGCAAGCCCUAUGCACAAAAGACUCUGCCAAAUCUGAGAAGCAAUGGUGCUGGGAAAGCGUCAUAGCAUGAAGCUCCAGUCUCACAAAGAUUUUCUUCUUAUGCUAUUAAAUGAAUCAUGGAUUUUAGUUAUUACAAAUGAAAGUUUAAGGACCAUACCUUUUGUAUUAAAGAAUAAGGCCUGUAAAUACAUAUGUGCAUGUAUUACUCUACCUAAGUAAAAUGUUAAUUAUAAUACUAUAGCAUAUGGAAUGUCUAUUUAAGAUUUAAUCUAUCUAAUAAAGAAAAGUCUAAACCCCAAUUAAUAACUCACAUUGGUAUUACAAUUGUCUUUGAAGGGCAAAGCUUUUUGGUAGUGCUUUGUUUUAAUUUUCAGGAUUGUGCUUUUUGUUAUCCUUCAUUCUUUAUUAGAUUUAGAUCUAUAUUAGUUUUUUGCAAGAUCUAGAAUUCUAGUUAUCAUUAUGCUUAGAUUUACUUUUCCUUCUAAUCUUUAUUGCAUUUUCUUCUUUUGCCAUGCCAUGCUAUUAUCGAUCAAGGUGUAUGUCAUUUGAGGUUAUUGAUGCUACUCUGUUAAAUUGAACUUUUGGUGUUGUGGAGUGUGAUCAUAUUGCUAUUGUGGCCAUCCUUGAUAUGUUGCCAUCUCUAACUUCUAUGAGAUAUGAUUAUACGAUUUAUCUUGUUCUCGAUGUUCUACUAUUUCCCGUUGAUGUGGAGUAUGAUUAUGACAUUGAUUGGCAAGCUAUGAAUGAUGCAAUCUGGUUUUUAGAGAAUGUUCAAGAAUCAAAUUUAUGGGAAAAUAAUGUGUAUAAGCUCAAAUGGAUUUUAGAUUGUGAUGACAAGCUGUAAGACACAAAUCCCUGAGCUCCAAAAGUGGAGCCAAAAGGGUGCCACGUGGUAAUGGUCGAAAUAGAAGGCAAAUGUGUGUAACACAUAUAGACUAAAAGCUCCAACUCAAAAAGUCAAAAGCAGGAGUGGAACUCCUAACAAAGUGCUCAAGGAACGAGCACAAAGUGAGUAAUAAGUGAGUCUCUAAAAAAGGGACACAAAAGGACCAACAUAUGAUAUGUGGAAGUGUUUGAGAAGGAGUCUAAAAUGGAGUCCAAGAAAGAGUCUGAGAUGGAAUUUGAGAUGGACCCGAGAUGGAGUUUGAGAUGGAACAGAAAUGGAGUUUGAGAUGGACCCGAGAUGGAGUUCAAGAUGAAGUUCGAUAUAGAUCCAAGAUGGACACAAGAUGGAGUCCGAGAUGGACCCGAGAUAGAGUCUGAGAUGGAGUUCGAGAUGAACCCAAGAUGGAGUCUGAGAUGGACCUGAGAUGGAGUCAAAGAUGGACCUGAGAUGGAGUUCGAGAUGGACCUGAGAUGGAGUCUAAGAUGGAAUUGAGAUGGAGUUCGAGAUGGACCUGAGAUGGAGUCUAAUAUGGACCCGAGAUGGAGUUCGAGAUGGAACCGAGACCAAGACCGAGACCGAGAUUGAGUUCAAGUCCAAGUCUGAAUUCAAGUCCGAAUUCGAGUCUGAGUUUGAAUGUUUUGAAUACAAUGGUGUUCAUCUUGUGUCCAAAUUCGAAGUUAUGCUUUAAGCUGGCAAGAUUAAUGUUAGCCUAUCAGUGGUUCUAUGAGUUGUUCCAUAUACCAUAGGUGAAAGUAAACCUUCCCUGCUUGGGUGAAAGCCCAAAGCAAUCAUCCCCUGGGUGGGGGGGGGGGGGGGACUGCAAAGGGUUCUAAAAGUAUAGUAGGGAGAGUGUGGGGGUUGGACCCAGUGGAGCCAAUUUAGCUAGGAAAGGCCAGUAUGACCUAGGUGUUGAAUGAUGUCAUAACCAUUGGGAAGUCCAAGGCUAGAGUGAAUACAGACAAACAAGUGGGGUAGCUUGGUGAAGUGUUUAAGAGCCAGCUCUAAUUCCCCUGGGAGAUCGAAUGGUCAAUGCUCCCAAUCCAAAUAUGGGUGGCAUUACCUACUUAGAUAUCUGGUGUGGCUAAACGGAACCUCACUUUAGCCCCAUGGCUAGAGCACCCAAAAGCAGAAGGUGUGGAAAGUACUCUUGAGGCUCGUGUAAGGCCAUGGUGUUCCAAAAUGUUAUUCUAAAAUCCCAAACUAUGGAAAGGAAAAUGAGCAAUCCUCUAGUCUAGUGACUAAGGAUAUGGUCACAUGGUGAGAAAGUCCCAGAGGACAAUGGGACUUAGUGGUCAGGUUUAUGAGCCUUGACCCAGUGGUAGGGUUGGCAAAUAUAGCCAUGGAUAGAAAAGGGAUUUGGUGGGGAUAUAAAGAACCAACUCCCAAAGGUGUUGUAGGCUAAAGGAUCCCUAAAAACACAGCUGAAGGGAUGGGAUUGAGUCUGAGAUCAAAUGCAAGUCCGACUCUAGGACCGAGUUCAAGAUAGAGUCCGAGAUCGAGUCUGAGGCAGACUCCGAGACUGUGUUCGAGACAGAGUUUGAGAUCCAAAAUCGGGUCUGAGACCGAGUCUAAGGUUGAGUCUGAGAUUGGGUCCGAGGUCGAGUUUGAGACCAAGUUCGAAGUCAGGUCUCCAAGAUCAAGUCCGAGAUUGAGUCUGAGUACUAAUACAGGUCGAGGGGUGAAAGCCCAAAGCAUGUGUCUCCUAGGGGGGGGGGGGGGGGGGGGGUUCCAAAAGUAUAGUAGGGAUAGGGAGGUCUAGGAAUCAGUUUUGAAGGAACUCUCUAGUGGUGCUUCCAAACUGAUUUGAGGUUAAGACUGGGGCCAAAGGGCCUUGGGUGGGAGUGAGCAUGGACUCGGGUGGUGUCGAAGGGGCCACCCAAGGAAGUGCUCAAGAGCAACUUCCACUUUCGGAAGGGAAAUCGACUGUAGUGCUCCUGACUACCCCACUUGAGUACCUUGCGGCUCAUUAGUCCUUGCCCUUCCUAAAGGCUUGGGCCUUCCCUUUGGGAUGGAAGUGGGGGGGGGUAGAGGUACCCAUAUCGGGCCGUUAAGCCACAAUGUUUCACCCCGGUGUCCCGAAGCAAGUGUUGCACCCAAGGCUUGGGAUUUAGAGGGUCCCAUGAUUAAGUCUUGUUGUACCAAGGGAUGUUAAGAACCUAGAGGCUUGGUGUGCUUGGCUGCUUGUGCCUACAGAGAGUGUAGUUGAACCUUAAGUCUAGUCUAACUCGGGAAGGGGAUUGGGAGAGAUUUGGGAAUCCAUGGAUGGGUGGUUAAUGCUCUGUUGCUCGUGUAGUGAGUAGCUGAAACCAAGUAGGACCAAGUAGGAGCUGGUACAAUAGGCGGGAACCUUGGUGAGGGAAUUUAGCUAAAGCGAAGAUAGUGUUGGUCGGAUAGACGAGGUAAGCUGACAAAUUGGAAAGGAAAAAUUUGUCGCUUACAAUUUGGUAUCGGAGCGGUCUUAAGUCUGACUCUGUUGGUUGGCUAGGGGAAUCACACCACCUGUUGAUUGACAUCUCGCUAGUCUAAUUUGCUCCUGCUAGGCUCGACCCGAGGGGUAGGGUGUCAAGAGAGCGAGGCUCGAGAGAGAGAUGCGGCUCUCAGCUUCCAUUCACAAGGGCGUGAACUUGUAGGGAAGCGUGGUGGAUUAUAAACAACCAAAAAGAACGACUUGAGAGAUGAUCCAUGGGGUUCAAAUAUAAAGGGAAAAAGCCCAUGAACAAGAGUGCACCCCUUUUUCCAAUCGGUUAAGGGUCUUGAGAUAUUUGGGGUUAAGCGUCUUUAGGUUUGAAUAAUACUAGAUUGGGAAGUCCAAAUUCAGGAGCUUACAUUUGGUAUUAGAGCCUUUUUCUCAGUUCUAAUAAAGGACAGAGGUAAAUUGCUGGGAGAUGGCAAAGGCAGGGCAAAAACGAACCAAGGCGGAGACAACACCUCCUCUAGAGCUAGAGCCUCCGGUCGAACAAGAGGCUAUGGAUGAGGAAUCCUUGCAUGAGGAGGACUCUAGUGAGGAAACUUCCAAAUAGGAGUUCGGUGGUGAGGUUCAGUCGUAUAAGGCCCGAUUGGACAUUCUAGAAGGACAAUUGGCACAGACCAAUGCUCUGCUGGAGACUCUCAUACACAAGCUAAAGCGCGACGAGAAACAAAAGAAAAGGCAAAAGACUGUGGAUGUUGGCAGUGCAGAAGGUGCGGACCUUUCGGCAGGGACUGAGGCAGAACCAAACAAGGUCGAAUAGACCAAAGUGGAAUCAGUCCCUCAGGUAGUUCCCAAGUACAAACCAAAGCCCCACCGGUCUUCAAGGGGGUGAAUGACUAUAAGGUGGUGGAGGAUUGGUUUUACAAUAUGGAUGACUACUUCUAAGCGUUGCAGUUACUAAGCUCAGAGAAGGUCCCAUAGACAAAACCAUACUUGGCAGAUAAUGCCAGAUCUUAGUGGAGAACGACUGAGGCUAACAAAGGACUGGUGGCCACUUGGGAAAUGAUGAAGGUGAGAAUCCGUGUGAUUUAUAUUCCUUCGAAUGUUACUCUACACCUAAGAAAUGAGCUGAGUAAGCUGAAGCAAACUGGAACCAUUCAAGAGUAUGUGAAUGGAUUUAUGGCAAAGAGGAUACUUGUCAUGGAUAUGAGUGAUAUGGAUGCGUUCCAUGCCUUUAUAUCAGGCUUGCAGACCUGGGCUCGCGUCAAGGUGAUGCAUUGGAACCCGACUAACUAUAAAGAGGUGUUGGAUGCGGCCAUCAAGGUGCAUUUUAAUGAUAACCUACGAAAGGGGAACACAACGGGGUUAGGGUUCAUGUUUAGCAAAAGGGCCAAACCAAGGGGAACAUAUAGCAAAGGGAAAUCCAAGAAGGGUUUCUCUAAGAAUGAGUCCUCGGGGUUCUGGAAAGGCAAAUCUGGUGGCUAGCAAGCAAGUACAUAGGGGAGUCAAGCAAAAAGAGACAAACCCAUGGAUAAGAAGGUUAAGUUUGCUAGUAGUGUGGGAAACAACAUAUACUACAACUGUGGUGAAGUGGGACACUUUUCGAGGGAAUGUCCUUAACCCGAAGAAGGCCAGAGCCAAUAUGGCCAUUAAGUCGUGUGAAAUCCAAACUAAGGUAUGUGAUCCAAUCUCUAGCUCAAAGUUACUCAUUACAGGAGCAACUUUGGUAGAGAGUCAUUCUCAACAUUUACUAGCCCUCUGAGGGAAGCUCGGAGGUAGUUUUGUUAAGAUUUUUAUUGACAUGGGUGUUUUAGAUAAUUUUGUGGCUGCAGAUAUAGUCUGGCAAGUCGGACUAACGGUGCAAUGGCUAGGUGAACUAAGGACGAUAGAGUUUGUUCAAGGUAGCCAAAGCAUCAAUGAGAUACUUCGACAAGUGAAAGUUGAAGUAGGGACAUGAAAAGUAGACAUGGAUUUCACCGUGUUGAACAUGGUAAGAUUUGACGUAAUCUUCGGGAUGGAUUGGUUCAAUCAAUUCGUAGUAGCCCUGCAUGGACAAGGGAGGAACCUUGUGGUACUGGUGAAUGCCUGGAGAGAACGAUUCAGGGUGGAGGCCUAGGAUUUAAAGGUAGGGCAAUGUAAGGCCAAAGACUUCUAUUUAAACCUAGUGUUCACGAGAGGACAACUCACUAAAGGAACCAAGGCAGCAUUUUUAUGCUUACUCUUGGUGAAAAGUGACAAAAAGAGGGGAACGGAAGAAGUACCUUUAGUAAUUCAGCGGGUGUUGGACCAAUUCCAAGAUACCAUGCUAAAGGAGCUAUCAGCGGGAUUGCCCCCCACACGACCGAUAGAACAUAAGUUUGAGCUGGUCGAGGGUGUUAAGGCAGUGGUUCGUCCCCCCUAUCGUUUGAACGAAAGAGAACUCGAAGAGCUCAAGCACCAACUAGAAGAGUUGGUGGACAAAGGGUAUGUUAGGUUGAGCAAGUCACCGUAUGGGGCACUAGUGUUAUUUGUGAAAAAGAAAGAUGGAUUUAUGUGCAUGUGCAUAGACUACUGGUUGCUCAACAAGUAUACAAAGAAAAAUAAGUACCUUUUGCCAAGGAUUGAGAACCUGUUCGAUAGGUUGGGAAAUGCAAAAUACUUCUCGAGGAUUGACCUAAGGUCAGGAUACUACUAAAUCAGGGUAGUAGAGGAAAAUGUUGAGAAGACAACUUGUUGAACAAGGUAUGGGAGCUUUGAGUUUCUGGUAAUGCCCUUUGGGCUAUGCAAUGCGCUGGCAAUACUUUCGGCGCUGAUGAACCACAUCUUUGUACCCUAUCUGGAUCACUUUGUGGUCGUCUAUAUUGAUGACAUCCUGAUCUAUAGUGAGACACUAGAGGAGCAUGCCGAACACUUGACGAAGGUGUUUGAGAAUCUAAGGGAACAUAAGCUGUAUGCUAAAGAGAGCAAAUGUGACUUUGCUCAACAAGAGAUAAAGUUUCUAGAGCAUGUGGUGGGCAAGGACAGGCUCAAAGUGGACCCUGAGAAGGUCCAAGCGACAGAUAAACAGAAAGGGUGAAUAGGUAGCUGGAGGAUUAUUUGCGAUGCUAUAUCUCAGGAGACCAGACUGAUUGGGUAAGUCAUUUGGGACUUGCAGAAAUGUGUUAUAACAACUCACCACACUCAAGUAUCAGGGUGAGUUCAUGGGAAGUUAUCAAUGGGCGAGCUAUUGAAGGUUCUGUGGAACUCGGCGUGGUCGAGUAUCAUGAAGAGUUACCCGCAGUGGAGGCACGGCGAAAAGACUCAACAUUUGGAAUCUAGUAAGGGAUUCCUUGGAAUGGGCUCAACAAAAGCAAACCAAGUACACGAACCAGAAGUGCCGGGAUGUAAAAUUCUAAGCUGGGGAGAAGGUGUGGCUGAACACCAAGAACCUUAGGCUACCAAGUGGGAUCAGCCGGAAGUUGACCCAAAGGUAAAAAUGCAUAUAUUCCUGGAGAUUAAUUGAUCUUGUGUUCCUUAAGCAAGUUUGCAGGGCCUUACGAGAUUGAGGCACGAAUUGGUAAAGUGGCUUACCGUCUUCAACUUCCUCGAGAGAUGGGGAAGAUGCACCCAAUGUUCUAUGUGAACUUAUUCAAGUUGUACUUUGAGGAUCCGCUUUGCAAGGACCAAGUAAGUCCUUUACCUGAGGUUAUCCAAGGGGAAGAGGAAUACGAAGUCGAGGCCAUUCUCAAUGCGUGCAAGAGCAAGCGACAAAGACGCAAGAUGAGGGAGUUUCAUGUGAAGUGGAAAGGAUUUCCACACUAUGAAGCAACAUGGGAACUAAAGGAGAACCUAGUGAACGCGUGAGAUCUAGUGGAGGAAUUUUUGCAAGGUAAAACUUUAUGUACUUAUGCAAAGUUCAAUUAAAGUAUCAAUUUGUGAAGUUGAGCAAUGGCAUAUGUUGGGUCCCAAAGGCACAUCGAAGGUAAGCUAAUUAGCAUGGGUUAGCUAGGUCGACUAGGUGUAGGAAACUACGCCCAAUUCUCUGCAGAGAUAUUGAAUCCGUAGACGUAUUCUACGGAGGUUGGGUUCGAGUCCUAAGCCCCUAAUAAAGCAAGGCUGGGAUCAAGUCCUAACCCCAUACUAGGGCAUGGAGAGGUGAGGGGUAUAGGGACACCUGUAUUCUGUAGUCAUGGGCUCUUGGCCGGGGAGGCUAACUUAGGCACACUACUAAGUGGAGGGAUGCCCCCGGAGACAUGGUCAACAAGUUGUAGGCUUAAAAAGAGAUGUUCAAUAUGGGCAUCGAACUUCUUCUAUGGGUGGUGGAGUUGUAAGGAACCAAUUCCCUAAGGUGUCGUAGGCCAAAAGAUCCCCAAAAGCACGACUGAAAUGAUAAAGAGUUCAUCGGAUGGGACCGAGUCUGAGAUCGAGUCCAAAACCGACUUUGGGACCGAGUUCGAGAUAGAGUCCAGGAUCGAGUCUGAGUCUGACUCCAAGACCGAGUUCAAGACCGAGUUUGAGACCGAGUUCAAUACAGAGUCCGAGAUCCAAAAUUAGGUCUGAGACCGAGUUCGAGGUCAAGUCCGAGGUCUAAUCCAAGAUCAGGUCCAAGGUCGAGUCCGAGAUUGAGUCCAAGACUGAGUUCGAAGUCGAGUCCAAGAUUGAGUCCGAGAUCGAUUCCGAUACCGAGUCCAAGUACUAAUAUAGGUCGAGGGGUGAAAUCCCAAAGCAUGUGUCUCCCAGGGGGGGGGGGGGGGUGGUGUUGCAGGGGGUUCCAAAAGUAUAGUAAGGAUAGAGAGGUCUAGGAACCAAUCUUGAAGGAACUCUCCAAUGGUGCUUCCAAAUUUACUUGGGGCCGAAGGGCCUUGGGUGGGAGUGAGCAUGGACUCGGGUGGUGCCAGAGGGGCCACCCAAGGAAGUGCUCAAGAGCAAUUUCCAUUCCCGAAAGGGAAACCAACUGUAGUGCUCUUGACUCAUGUGGAGUGGUGCCCCACUUGAGUACCUUGUGGCUCAUUGGUCCUCGCCCUUCCUAGGGGCUUGGGCCUUCACUUUAGGAUGGAAGUGGGGGGUUAGAGGUGCCCAUACUGGGCCAUUAGGCCACGGUGUUUCGCCCCAGCGUCCCGAAGCAAGUGUUGGACCCAAGGAUUGGGAUUUAGAGGGUCCCAUGAUCAAGUCUUGUUGUACCAAGGGAUGUUAAGAACCUAGAGGCUUGGUGUGCUUGGCUGCUUAUGCCUGCGGGGAGUGUAGCAGAACCUUAAGUCCAAUUUAACUCGAGAAGGGGAUUGGGAGAGAUUUGGGAAUCCGUGGAUGGGUGGUUAAUGCUCCGUUGCUCGUGUAGUGAGUAGCUAAAACCAAGUAGGACCAAGUAGGACCAAGUAGGAGCUAGUACAAUAGGUAGGAACCUUGGCGAGGGAACUUAGCUAAAGCCAAGGUAGUGUUAGUCGGAUAGACGAGGUAAAUUUGCAAAUUGGAAAGGAAAAAUUUGUGGCUUACAGGGGACUAUAAAAGGGAUAUUAGGGAAGGUUGUUCCCCAUGUUUGCGAGCAUCUUAAGGGUGUUAAGGAGUGGAUCUAGGAUGAUCACUCAUGGAUGGAUGGCCCAGUCUUUGAGAGAUAGGACUGGGAUGUAGGUGGUGUUGGAUGACCAGUAUGGCAAAGGUGAAUGGGCAUAGCCUUAGCAUAAUAGACUGAUAUAUCAGUGGUACUUUUGGGUGUUGGUCAUGGGAUUAAAUAUGUGGAGCACUUGGACCAAGUGCAAAAGUUGAAUGGUAUGGAUGCCAUUCUCAGGGCUAGCAAGCCUGAAGUCUAGAAUAAGACUUAUGGAGGCUGUGAGUGAGAUUCCUCCAAGUGGUUAGAUGUGUGGUUAAGUGACUAAAGUAAAAUGGAAAAUUUAGUUGCUUACACAAGCUUGAUUAUUAUGGAGACAAUUUUAAAGACAAUGUGAAGAUUUUGUAAAGUAAAUGUCAACCUUUCAAUUUAUCAUUUGAUCUUUUUCCUUUACCUUCUACUCUUUUUGAACUUUUUUUUAUUUUUCGGCCUAAACCACCUUCUCAUAUUCUUAGUAUUCCUUGCUUGUUAGUAACAUUUCCUUCUCCUGACACAUUAAUCAUUUAUGACUCUUAUGAUUCUUAUUCUUGGUUUAGUGUUAAAUUGAGUGUUUUUUGUCCUUCUUAUACUAAUUUAGAUAUUAAAUAUAUGUAUAAAGUUGAGAAUCUUAUUUUUGUUUUAUUAGCAAAGUCUUUGAUCAGUUUUGGUGUUGAAUAUUCCUCUGUUCUAAAGGUUAAGUUGUUUUGGUUAGAAUUUUAGGUUAAGUGCGUAUCCCCAUUUAUGAAUGCUAUAGAGAGUCUUUACUUUAUUAUUGUUACUAAGGAAUUUGAGUCUGAGUUAAUAUGGGGGGAAGAUGAGGAGGUAAGUUCUACUUAUGGUGUAGCGCAUGUGAUCAUGAGAUGAGAUUUGGAUAUAUUGUCACCGUAGAUUCUUGGAACCUUAAGGGAUAAAUGGGGAUAAAAUAGCCACUAAGGGCUCUCUUAUCAAGCAAUUGCCCCUUUUCCAGUUGGCUUGACAGGAGAGAGAUAAAGUGCGUUACAUAUGGUAUUGAAGCAAAUGGCACAGGUUCGAUUCCCAUUGAUUAGUGGCUACUUAAAAAUAUAAUAUACCCUUGAGCAAGGUAUAUUCUUACCCCUAAAUUUGAAAUCAUAUGUAUUGGGCAUCCAUGCAUACGUCCUUCCUCUUGUGUGGAGUAUCCACAAACGAAAGUAUUCACCGUGGGUGGAUGAUUAGUUGCCUCACAUAUGGAAUAGUUAGUUUACACAAUGGAAGAAUUGGUAGAUUCAGUAUGGAAAUGGAAGUGCUGGUUCCCCUUGGCUCAGUAGGGGUUGUUAGUCAAUAGUCAAUGAGGACAUUGACAUCUCUCAAGGGGGGGUGAGUGUAGUGCAUGUGAUCAUCCCAUUGGUAGAUUCAGUGUGGAAAUGAAGGUGUUGGUUCCCCUUGGCUUAGUAGGGGUUGUUAGUCAAUAGUAGGGGGUGAGUGUAGCGUAUGUGAUCAUGGGAUGAGAUUUAGAUAUACUGUCACUGUGAAUCCUUGGAACCUUGGGGGAUAAAUGGGGAUAAAAUAGCCACUAAGGGCUUUCUCAUAAAAAAAUUGCCCCUUUUCCAGUUGGCUUAAGGGGAGAGAGAUAAUAUGCACUAUAUAUGGUCAUGAGUUUGAGUUAACAAUGGUUUUGAAAGAUUAUUAGUGGGCAAACUUAAGUGAAAUGCUGGAUUACAAUGGUUUUUGAAAUCCUUUAUUUUAGUUCAAAGUUAUAGCUUUAAAGUUGGUUUAAGCAUUUAGUAGCUGUAUAUGAAGUUAUAACUAGUUUAUUGAGAUUCUAUAGUUGUUGGAUGAUGUUUAUACUAUGGCCUUGGGUUUUGUUUCAGUUAUAGUUAUUAGCAACUAGAUUACUAGUUCUGUGGGAGCUUCAAGUUUUUAUAGCAAUUUAUAAUCACUUAACAUAAAUUCUAAAUGUUCCAUCUAAUUUAUUGUCAUCACUUUUUCAUCUUCUAGAGGGGAGGUGUAAGGUCUAUAAAUACAUACCCUAUUUAGGUAAUACACUUAUUAUAGUACUAUAGUAUAUACAUCGUCCAUUCAAGACUUAAUAUCAUCCAUCCAUUUUUGUAUAUAAAGAGGGGUCUAAACCCCAAUUAAUAUACCUAAACACUCACAUUUAUAUAUUCUAGGUAUAUCCUUUAAAGCAAACCAAAAACAAAUUGGGCUUACGUAGUUGUUUUAAUCAUGAUUGUUCCUUUUCUUGCUUGAACCUUUGAUCUAUUUCAUGAUGGCUUGCUCACUUUGAAUUUUAAAAUGAAAAAUAUUUAGUCAUUCAUAAGCAAGAUAUAAAGGUCCAAUUGUUUUAGGGAGUUGUCUGCAGAUUUUUGGGCAUUUAUAAAUUCCCAUCAAGUUGCAUCCAUUGUGUGCCUGUAUAUAUGAACUGAUAAUAAGCUCAUUUUAUAUUUUUUAAAUAUAUAUAUAAAAUAUAUAUAUAUAUUUUAUAUCUAUAUAAAACCAUUUUCCAUACCUGUAGCAUCUACCCAUCAAAAUGAACUUUAGCUCCAUUGGUGUUAGUGUUUGUUUUCGCAUUAACAGUGCCAAUAACCAUGACCAAAAGCAUCAGCAUUAUUAGUGUUGUAACCUUCUUCACCAUCUCUUCAACUCUUUUAUAACUCUUAGAUUCAAAGAGUUCUAGCAAAGUGAUUACAUUGCUGCUAGUCAAGAAUAUAUUAAGCCAAUUAAGAAUGAGUGUAAUGAAUAUUCCUAGAACAUCCCUAGAAUAUUUUUGAUUUGUUUAAUAAUUGAGUGGAGCCUCACUCUAACUUGCUUAAUGGCCCAUUUAUGUCUGGAUCAUUCUUGAAAGCAGUGGCUUAAAACAAAUUAACUCCUUUGAUCCAUCCUCUUUUAAAAUCCACUGUGUGUUUUCCUGACUCAUAUAAGGGAUUGGAGCAUUAGAACUUUAUAUGAUGAUAAAAAGAAACUCCACAUAUAUAUUAAAAAUAUUUGAAAUUUUAAACUGUGAACUCUAAAUAUUUUUAGCUUAACUCACUUGUCAAUUAUUAUUCUAUUAUAGGUUAUUUCUAAAUGUAGUCAAUAAGUAGAGAUUUUGAGCUUGUAAAUGCUGGGAUUUUAAUAAGUAGAGAUUUUGAGUUUGUAAAUGUUAGGAUCUAAAUAUUUAUCAAGGGCAGUGAUCAAAAUUGGCUACUACAAAACACUGCUCUACCACAAAAAUACAUAAGUUAAGGGGUAUGUGUAAUUUAAGUAUUUUAGUGAAGAUAAAACACUUAAAAUUUUAUAUAUAAAAUUAUGUUAAGUAUGUAAAUAUAAAUUUUAAGUGUUCAUAUAAAAUAAAAUUUUGUACUAAAAUUUAAGUUAAGGCCUUAAUAUAGAAUAUAAAUAACCAGCUUUAAGUAUUAAAAAACCAUAAAAUCCUAAUCAAUACAAACCAGAUAUAGAAAAUCGAGCUUAAAGAAAAAACAUAAAGCAAACCAAGCUUGCUCCAUAGCACAGCUGGAAUUUGCUUUGCUGGAUUAUUUUUCCAAACAGUAGUUACCACGGGUUUUGAAAUUAAAAAUAUUGAGAAAAAGUGCAAUUUGCAAUUUAUUGCAAAAUUCCCACUUUAUCAAGAACUGCUCGCUCAAGAAAGUCCUGGCAUCUGUAAAAUUAUCAUAUCAUAUUGGAUUAUUAGUAUGUCUCCCACACAUUUUUAUCUAGCAGCAGUACUGUCUCCGACGGUAGUAGCAUUUCUUGGGGCACUCUGGUGCAUUAGGAUGAACUCUGGCCGUUCCCUUCGUCAUAGUUGUCACGGUGGGGAGGUCCACUCUUGCAGUGGCAGGGCCAAAGGCAGCGAAGGCCAACACCAGCAGCAGCAUCAACUUCAUCAUCAGGGCAACCUUCUUUGCCAUCUCUCCAAGCAACUCCUUCCUGUGUUAAGAUCAACUCUUGAAAGAGCACUGCUUUCCUGGCUGCGUUUAUAUACCUUGUCAAGUUAGUGGGCUUGGAAUAUUGUUGACAAAAUACGCCGCAGACUAGUCAUAAUAUUCCAAACCCACUAAGGUGACGAGGUGUCGUUUAAGAGACGUGCACGAUUCUGAACACAGGAUUCAAAAUCUUGUUUUCUUUCCAAAAUGUGAGCGUUCGAUUCAGCAAUGAAGUCGAAAGAUUUUAGAAGAAUGUACAAUAAUCCAGCAUCUGGGAAUGCUGAGGUAAGAUUUGAGAAGAAUGUACAAUAAUUCAACAUCAAACUGUCUGGGAAUGCUGCGGCAUUGUUGUAAAACAUGAUCAAGGAAAUCACACCUUUCUGCGCGCGCGAAAUAUUUAAAAAAAAUUAAAAUUCCAUUAAUACAUUUAACGGUUAAGUCCCUCCUUAAACCCUAAACUCUGAAACCUUAGAACAGUUAAGGCUACUCGUAGUCGGCCGACUUAUCCAGCGGGGGCGUGAGCAUCCCAAACGGGAUCCUCCUCGAGUGCUUCCUCCUGCGCGUGAUUCCCUGCGGCGCCACCAGCGCCUCCGCCCUGAGGCUCGCCACCGACACCCUCCCCGCCAUCAUCUCCAAGUAGUGCUCGAAGCACAGCGGGAACGACUUCCAGUCGUAGACGGAGUGGAGCGUCCCCACCCGGACAACCUCCAUCCAUUCCUCGCCCGACACCUGAAUCCUCUUGAGCACCUUGUGGACGCGCAUCAGGUACAUGUCGAUCAUCCCGCUGUAGCAUCCGAUCACCGAGCAACACUUGCCUCGCAGGAACUGCCGGCUCAUUCUCGUCAGCACCACGAACAGGAGAUUGUCCCCGCACUUGGUAUCGUGGCUCACCAGCGGCGGGACCAAAAACUUCUUCCCCAUGUUGCGCAGGUCCGACUCGGUGGGGAAGAACGAGGCCAGGUUGCCGUCCAGCCCGACCACCUUGAUGUCGUUGGAGAAGGACUUCCGGAUGUUCCUGCUCGACGACUUGUGCUUGGCGGCCAGCGAGAAGAUGAGCGACCAGCGCAGGUGGUAGUCGACCGUCUUCUUCACAAACGCGAAGUUGUCGCAGCAGCGGUAGUAGUCGAGCCAGCGGUACGCCAGCCCCGAGUACCAGUGCAGGAUGGCGAUGUCCUCCUGCGCUAGCAGCAUCCGGAAGUGCGUCGGCCUCCCACCUUUGGUCACGAUCUCUCGCAGCCGCAGCUUGUCCACCAGUUCCAUGAUCGGCAUGAUCACCAGCAGCCGCAGCUCGUCCGCCUUCUUCACCUUGAUCGGUGGCGGGUUUCCGGUCGAUCGGGCCUCCUUCUCCGCUGCCAGCCGCUCCAUCUUCUCCUGCUUCUGCUUCAGCCUCGCGUUGACGCCCCCCUCAGCGCUCACCGAGUAGUCGAGCUGGCCCAGGAACUUGUCCACCUCUUCCUGGAACCUGUCGAACGCCGCGAUGAGCUCCUUGGGUAGCUGUUCGCGGAUCCAGGGGCUCAUCAGUAUGUGGCCUUUGCGGAACUUCUCGCGGAUCAUCAGCCUCUCCUCCUCCCUCUCGCUGCUCAGGAAUCCCCGGACCAUGUCCCCCGCAACGCUCUCGAACAUGCGCCGGACCGUCGCGUCGCCCUGGCUGUCCGACAACGCGUUCUUCCUCGCGCGGGUGUAUAUCUCCACAAGCAUCUCAGCGCCCAGCUUCCGAACAACCGCGUCGUAGUGGUGCUUCAUCUGCCGCUUCACCAUCUCGAUCCGGUUCUCCACCGCUCGCAUCGACUGGAUGCACGUCUGCUUCCGGAACUCGGGCAUCUUGGAGGGAGGAACGAACUGGAGCUGGAAGCCAAGGAAGUCACACUGGUUGAGGGUGGCGUCCAUCAGCGUCUUCCGGCCCCGCUCCACCUCCGCCACCAGCUUCUCGUUCACGUAUACGCACAGCUCGUGCUGGACCGUGAGAGCAAUCUCCUUCUGGCCCGACACAGCCAGCAGCACCUCGUCGCCAUAGCGGCAUGCAUACAGCCUGAUCUUGCGGUCGGCCGGAUCGUCGCUCUCCUCGGCGGGCGUGUUGAGAGCUGACUCUUCAGUGAUUCCAAUAUCAGCAUCCGGGACUGAGGCCCUCGCAACUUUCACUUCCUCAGGCUCCUCCGGAUUCAUGCUUGCCACCCCCUCCGCCACCUCUUGGAUCUUCCAGUCAAGCUUGUCCAAGUAGAUGUUGAGAAGCAUCGGCGAGAGGAUGGGCUCCUUGCAGAAGUCCUCCCAGUGGAGGUUCCCCAUGUCCAUCUGGAAGACGCGGGCACGGAAGAGCUGCCGGAGGAAAGCUAUGAGCCUGCUGUCUUCGAUGGUUUCCUCAAGGAUGGCCACCAGCACGUCGAAGUUCUCGAGCGUGAAGUGCCGCUCCAGCUUCAUCUUGAUGAACCAGUCGAAGUACUUCCAGCGAUACUUGAUCAGCCUCAUAGCCAUAUGCCUCCCUCUUCCGGGCCUGGAAGCAAACGAAAGGCUGGAGAACCGCGGCUCGUAAACUUCCUGAAGUGCCAUCCGGGUGGCCUCCAUGGCGAUCUUGGUCUUGAGAUUGGGAAGAACCAGCGAGCGAGUGGAGUUCUCCUUGGAGGAGACGAGGACCUCCACGCAGUUGGCCUUGACGUCGAAAGUCCCAAUCGCCAAGUCCCUGGACAUGUGCUCUAUCACCUCCCGGCUAAUCCCAUCGGCCUCCAUUUGCUUGGCCUCGUUUCCCAGGAGAGGCCCCGAGCGCUUCUUGAUAGAAUUGUAAGCGGCCAUUAGAUUGCUGGGAGUAGCUACUACAUUCCUCAUCAACAAUCGAUACUUACCGUCCACGAAGAUCCCGUCCACGCCCUGCCGGAACCUCUCCUGGUCCACGUCCUGGAAGAGGGAAUUCACCUCCCUGGCGAUGAGCGCUCUGUUGCUCGGCUCCUCCUCCACGGCGGCGGCCGCUGACCAGGCCGAUCGAUGCGGCGCGGCAGCGGCGCCGACCCAGCAGCGGCGCCAUGGCGCUGCCCGCCCCGCGCGUUGCAGCAUUGCAUUGUCCUAAAGCCCUAAACCCCCCAUUUUUAGGGUUCUUCGUAUUUUCACUCGCUGACCAAGAGGAUCUUGCCCGGGGAAGCCUGCAAAUCAAAUCCUGGCAGCGUUGGAGCGGAAUUUCAACGAUCUUGAGGCGCGUACCUUGGCGAGGCUCCCGCGGAUGGCAUCGUCGUAGCGCUCCAGCGGGAAUUUCUCGCCCACGAGCGGCUCCAUGAUCUUGCCCUCGAGGAGCUUCAUCACGGUGGAUGCGAUCUCCCGGAAUUCGUGCAUUGAUCGCUUGUAGAUCCAGCGCUUGAGGUAGAACCCCUUGACGCUGACCUCGCGCAGCAGCAAAUCCAUGCCCGCGACGGACACCUCCGCCUUGUUCAUGGUGCCGUAGACGAUGACCGUUCCCCUGUUCUUGACGCUGGCGCAAAGAAUCUGGCAGGAAGAAUGGAGCGAAUCAGUGGAUCCGGGUCGACUGGAGAGCUCUUGCCUUUGUGAUCUCGCCGCCCAGGCAAUCGAUGGCGGCGUGCGCGAGCUUGCCAUUGGUGAUCUUCUUCACCUCCUUGACAACGUUUUCUUCCUUGAAGUUGAUCACGUAGUCGGCGCCCAGGCGGAAGAGCUCCUCCUUUUGCUCAUUCUUUCUCACCAGACUGAUCGUCUGGAAAUAUGGAAGAAACCGAUCGAUCGAUGAAUCGUUCCAAAGAAAAAAGGAGAAGAAAAGGAGACCUUGAUGCCCCUGUGGUGUGCGUAUUGGAUGAACAUUCUUCCAAGAACCGAGGAAGCUCCACUCUGGACCACGUAAUCGCCGCUGGGAACCUCCAGCUCCUCCGCCAGAGCAUACACUGCGCAAAAGAAAUCCCUCCCGUGAGGAAGGAGUCCACAAACCCAUCCAAGAUCUUCCUUGCCUGUGAAUGGGUUGACGAAGAACUGGCACGCCACCUCGUUGGAAAUGGAGUCGGGCACCGGGAUGGCCACAUCGGCCGAGCAGAGGAGAAACUCCUGCCAUGUCUCGGGAUCGCUCCACUCGAGAAUCGGGCACACCCGCUGACCCACGCACAGACCCACCACAUUCUCCCCGACCUUUUCUCCCAAUCCAAUCGGGUACCCGCAAAAAAGGAGAGGAAGAACAACGCUAUGAUCGUCACAAAGGAAGGACACUCCAUCGCCAAGUACCACAAGCAACCAAUCCUACACAAGAAGAAGAAGACCCAAGAAGUGAUCCAUCCUCCUCGAUCAAUCACAUCAUGUCAAUUCCUCUAAGCUUCUCGGAGAUCGAUUGGGUCCCAGGAAGAAGACCCGAGAAGAGAUCCUCCAGGACAUAAUGCCGAUUCCUCCAAGCUUUUCGGAGAUCGAUUGGGCCCCAGGAAGAAGAAGAAGAAGAAGAAGAAGAAGAAGAAGAAGAAGACCCAAGAAGACAUCCUCCUCGAUCAUUCAUGCCAAUCACUGCAAGCUUUUCGGAUCGCGAUUGGGUAGUAGCAUCAAACCAAACAACAGGAAGAAGAGGGGAAGAAGAAAGAUCGAUCAAACAAGCUGGAGCUGAAGAUCCAGCUUACCUCGUGGAUGAUCCCCAUGCCCUCGAGGCCUGGCACCGCGGGGAAGGAGAUGGGCUUCCAGGUCGGGUAGAAGCCCUGCAAGCACAUAAUGUCGGAUGGAUUGACUGGGCGGCACAGGAGCUUCACCACGACCUGGCCACUCCCGGCUCGCGGCGUCGCCACCCAUCCAAUCCGGCACGCCGCCGCUGGAUCUUCCCGGUUAUACGACAGGAGCUGGAUCGCCCUGUGCAUCAUCGCCGCCGCCUCCUUGCCCUCGAUUGAUCAAUGCUCUUCUCUUACGAUCGAAGAUCUAGUUUGCGGGAAGGACGAGCUCCUUUUAUAACCCAAAGCUCUCGGAUUUGUUACUGUGGCCUCUUUUCCUUGCUCCUCUUUUUGUUUCGCGGGGUAUUAGAUUAUGAGCGCCAUGGAAAGACCGUGUGACCUGCGUAAUCCGGGAGCGUCAAUCCAGCAUCUUUGUACUCAGCAGCAAAGGCGUAAAACUUUCCAUUCCAUGCGUGAAUGAGUGAACACGACGCCCUCGCUUUGCUUUAGCCUGGAUCCUGUAUAUCAGCGCCAAACUUUCAGGGGAAAAGCUUAACGACAAGGAGAAAAACGAAAGAACCUUUGGCUCCAAGACCACGUUUCUCACGCUCCAUAUUAAUGGUACCGUCGCUAUAGCCACAGUCCUCUCAAACAAGGAUAUGCUGCCAUUCGUCCACGCUCUGGCCAUAACUUUGAUCGUGGGAGGUUGAAUACUGGCAGGGAAAAGCCGACCAAGAAAAACGUGGAUGGAAUGUGUAUACUGACUCAUAAACUUUGCAGGACUUUUUGCCAUACCAAGGUGUGAGUGAGCACUGCCUUUCAAUCGCGAUGAUUCCAAAUUCCAUCUCAUCCUCACUGAUAUCCAAAGAAUUGCAAUCUCGAGCUCCAGGACAUAACUUAUCUACAAGAGAGUGAAAUAAUCAGUAUACUUGUAGAAAAGAAAGGAAACUUACCUCGAGCGUUUGACUUAUCUACCUGAACGUGAUGGAUGCCUUGGAGACUGUUAAACAACCGAGAGAUCCAAAAGUAUGUGUAAUUUCUCUAGUCAACAACAUCAGCUGUUCACGCCAACGAAGCGCGUUUCUCGCGCUUCGCGAAUGAGUCAACACGACGCCCUGGCUUUGCUCUAGCAUAAAUACCUGUAUAUAUAGCAGCAAACUUACAUUACUCCGCGAAUUACCUUCCACUACCUCGUCUUGUAUUAACACUGUCGUGAAGCUAAGUUGCUACGCAGUUCUCCCAAACGCCGAUGCUGCUUAGGAAAGGACCACCGUUGCUGCUACCGCUGCUGCCGUAAAUCGCCUCCGAGACAACCUUUCGAGCACACUCGUCCCAUGCUCUGGCCAUGGCUUUGAUCGUGAGAGGGUGGGUGUAAUUACCGAGCCUCACCGCCCUGGCAAACGAGUCUCUAGCCACCACUGACAGCAAGUGACUAACGAGACCAAGAACAAAGCGUAAAAAACAUGAAUGAAAUGGAAAGAAGGAUCCUUACUUGGAGUUUGGAUCAAAAUUGUCGGACAUUAGAAGCGGAGGAGUCUUUGGAUAAGUUGGAGGGACGAGUACUCGUAGCGGUGACAAAACGGCCUGCCAUUAUCCGACAAAGUCAAGCACCACAGAAGUAAAUAAGGACUUUUACCAUGUGAUGUAUCGUUUCUGGAAUCUCAAGGCCGUUGUACGAAAAUGUAAGAACAAGACCUUCCUUGCCUUCGGAGGCUGCUUCCUCAGUCCCAUCCUCACUGAUAUCCACGACGGUGUCGAUGAGGUGGUCAUUCGUGUCGCGAAUUUCUUGCUCCAGGACAUAACUUAUCUACAUGAGAGUACUUAUAGCGAGGAAAAGAAGGAAACACUUGCCUCAAGUUUUUGACUCUUCCACCCGGAUGUGACGGAUGACUCAAGGUCGGCCUCGUCCCCUUUGUGGAGACUGUUCACAACGCUUCCAUCCGAGGAGAUUAGUGUCAGCGCAAUGGAAUCGAGCUGACGCUUGACCUUCUUCGCAGCUGCUGGACCUUCCUGCGUUGAUGCCAAAGCUCUAGAUUGCUGACGACUCUUUGUCAAUGCAGCCAAGUCCUCCCCGACAGCUGCUCUGCAACCAGGGCCGGGUGCUGAGGCCGCAAGCUUGUCGGACAAGUUCACGACAGAUCUCAUUUCCCUCACGCCUGCGCUGAGAGCUUUUGGAGAGAUCGUGCUAACCUGGAGUUCGAUAAAAAAAUUUAAAAAAAAAAAAAAAAAGAGUUUGAGUUAUGUAAGAGGAGAAACUAGAACUUACGAUCUUAAGAAGCCUCUCCAAAGGAUCGAGGCCCUUCUGGCCAAAUGGAGUCCCGGGCGCUGGAUCCUGCGAGCCAGCGACUUGAGCAGGACUCGGGGAAAACUCCAAGAAAGGUGACGCCGAAAUGCCUGGUGUGCCAAUCACUGGAGUUGCGGUGGACUGGUUGUAGCCAAUCGGCUGGGAGCUCGUUAUCGAGGACACAGCGGAAGUAGCCGCUUUAUGCUCGGCGUCCUCGAUUGGUGGCGAAGCAACCGGAAGCAACGGAGAGGGAGUCAUAAACGGUGGUGUCGCCGCUUGCAAAGGCGUGCCAACUUUGACGGUAGUUAAACCUUGAGCAUGCUGCUGGUCUAUCUGCGGUGACAGUUGCUGGGCCAGUUGAGGCGAUGGAGCUUGCAGAAUCUGGGGAGAUGAAGUCAGCUGAGGCGAUCCAACUUUCAUCUGAUUCAGCUGGUUCUGCUGCUGCUGCUGCACUCGCUUAGUCGCCAUCAUUCUUCGGAUAUCCAUCUUCGAAUCCUCCUGCAUUUGUUGCUGCUGGUGUUGUUGCUGCUGCAGAGGAAGGACGAGGUUGGAAGCUUGCUGCAACUUUUGCUGCUGCUGCUGAGCCAGUUGGAUUCUCUUCAUCUGCUGCUGCUGUAGAAGAUCUUGCUUAAACACAUGCUGCUGCUGCUGCUGCUGCUGGAGAGGAUUUAGACUGUGCAUCAUGUUGGGCUGAGCAGUAUUCUGCCCCGGAAUUGUGACAGGCGGAUGCUGCACGGACGAAAUCUGACCGCCAAGCAUUCCUUGCUGCUGGUGCUGCUGCUGCUGAAGUUGCACUUGCUGCUGCUGCUGUUGCUGAGGGAGCUUACGCUUCUUAAAAGUCUCCAUAAUACUCACAAUUUGUUUCUCGAAGGCUUCUAGCUUGUCUAGCCUGAACUCCUUUGGAAGGUUGGUCCUCGAGGCAGAUAAAUAUGGAAUCAUUCGGCUUAACACGUCCUUGUAAUGAUUCAGCUUCUGCAGCUGAUCUGCGGGCAUUGACUGCAUAUAGAAAAAAAAAUUGCUUUUAACAAUUUGGGCCGACAAAGUCUUACCUGUUGACUUCGUGCAACAAGCAUGUUCCGAAGAUCGUUCAUGUCAGGUAAAUACUUGUCCUUGAGGUUUUGCAGCUGUAACAGAAACGAUUAUUUCAUAUUGAAUACAAAGUACGCUGAUACAUACCUUGUUCCACACCGUCUCUUGUUGGUCGAUGGUAGCGGACUGAGCUGUCUGACCCGAAUCAACUGAAGCUGUGAAAAAAACAAUUAAGCCCACUCGCUCUUGAAAAUCCAUAACAACGCACCUGAGGAAGCUUCGGACACGGCACGUUGUUGCAUCAUCCCGAGGGGUUGAUUUUGCUGCGGCAGUGCUUGUUGCUGCUUCGGCUGAAGCAUUUGUUGCUGAAGCAUCUGCUGGCCACUGCUCAAGAGCUGCUGCUGGUGCAAAGCUUGAGCACUCGGCUGCUGCUGUUGCUGCUGCAUGUACGGUUGUUGCUGCUGUUGCAUCAAGCUUGGUUGAUGCUGAGACAUAUUUGACUGAGGCUGAGAAAGUCCAGCUAGCUGUGGCUGUUGUUGUUGUUGCUGCUGUUGCAAUGGUGGUAGCUGCUGUUGUUGCUGCUGCUGCUGUUGAUGGUGCUGCAACAGGGUCACGGGCGGCUGCUGUUGCGGCUGCUGUUGCUGCUGUUGCGGAAGUAGACUUUGCUGCGAAUUAAUCCCAGAAGGUUUUAGAACCAUACUCGUCGGUUGCUGCUGCUGUUGCAAGCCGGGUUGCUUUUGCUUCAUAUGCAUCCGGUAAAGCAUCUGCUGAGAAGCAACAUGCGGAGGUUGUGAAGAUUGAGGCUGUUGUUGUUGUUGCUGAUGCUGUGGUUGUUGUUGAGGCUGUUGUUGCUGCUGUUGUUGUUGUUGCUGCUGCUGCUGCUGUGGCUGCACUUGAGUUUGACGAGCUUGCAUCAUUCUCAUGGCAGCUGAAUUCUGGCCGAGACCGGCAAGGCUUGCUUGUUGUCCUUGCAGGUGUGCUGGCAAGGCCGCAAUGGGAUUCCCUUGCAAAGACUGAUGUGGUCUGACUUGACCACUCAGUUGGAUGUUGUUGCCAAAACUUUGCGGGACUUGAGCUUGACCUUGAGCUUGUCUCAUCUGUAAUUGCUGCUGCUGCUGCUGCUGCUGUUGGAGUUGUUGUUGCUGUGGUUGCUGCUGCUGGAUUUGCUGCUGCUGUUGCUGGGGCUGCUGCUGCUGUUGCUGGAUUUGUUGCUGGAGCUGCUGCUGGAUUUGAGGUUGCUGAGGCGGCUGCUGCUGCUGCUGCUGGAUUUGCUGGGGCUGCUGCUGCUGCUGGAGCCCUGGCUGCUGAGAACCCAUGAGAGACGAAGUCCCAGAAACCAUCUGAGAAGCAUCCGACGGAUUUGACGGGGGAGCGUUGCUGUUGUUCUGGGACGACUUAUUCUCUAGCGAGAGCAUCUUCAUGGAUAUCCUCCGGAGAUAGUCUUGCUGAACAAGGAAAAAAGAAACUUUUCUAUCAUCGAUCCGAUCAGAGGAGCGAGGAGAAACUUGCCUGAUCCGUCGCCGUCAUGUAAAUCUUCUCCUCGAAGCGGCAUGCGAUCUUGAGCAGCUCGUUCAUGCCGUCGGGCGGAUUGUGUGGCAUAUGCUUCUGGAGCGUGUCCAUUCUGCCGAUUACCGGAGACAAGGCCAUGAGGAUCAAUCCAGAGAGCUAGAGGGGAGCGCUUACAUUCUCUUGACGAUCUUAUUCCGCGCAUCGGAGCAUAGGCCACUACGCCAAUCCAUUGCCCUCGUCUUCUCAAACCCUAGCUAGCUCGCUCCUCCUAUUUGGUAAAUCUGUUGAAAACUAAUAAAAUAAUGUGAAAUAUUCUUUACAUCUAAAGCAUCCGGUCAAGUAUCUAGGGCUUGACAGAGCUAUGGCGUUCCAGGGCGCCAGGGUUCCUCUCAAUUGGUGGCAGCGCGCGGCCGUCGUGGCGGGAUCGGCAGUGGGAGCUGCGCUGAAUCCCGCUAGGGCGGAUCUCGUCGCUGCUCUGGGCGAGACCACGGGAGGAUUUGCGUUCCAGCGAAUGCUGGAGCGUAUGGAGCGAAGCCCCGAGGGCCAGGUAGCAAGCAAAUCUUGUUCUUUCUAUCCAUCUCCAAGCAAUUCCUUUGCUCCAAGCAGAGAAUUCUCGCGGAGCGUCCCAGAGUGACAUCGUCGGCAAUGUCUCGCGCCUGGGAUCUUCCACCCAAUACCUUUGGCGCCGCCUACGCCCAGUUCAUGGGAUCCAGGAACUUUAGCCCCGACGAUCGCCCUCCAGUUCGAUUUCUAGAGUCCGAGCAGCUCGCCUACGUUGCGACACGAGCCCGGGAAGUUCACGACUUUUGGCACGUCCUCUUUGGCCUGCCCACCAGCGUCAUGGGAGAGCUCGCCUUGAAAGCUCUCGAGUUCCAGCAGACCACCAUGCCGAUGUGCUUCCUCUCGGUUGCCGGAGCUUCGUGGCGGCUCAAGCCACACCAGAGGGACGCGCUCUUCCGGGAGUUCAUCCCCUGGGCUUUCAAGGCUGGGAACUCCGCCACGGACCUGAUGUGCGUUUACUACGAGCAGCACCUGGACGAAGAUCUGGAAGACGUUCGCAACAAGUGGGGCAUCAUUCAUGCGCCGGCGCUACGAAAAAAAUAGUUUUUCCGAGCCUCCUCAACUCUUCAACUUCGCCCAAGCUCCUGUGAGCCUCUUCUUCUACAGGAGCUUUGGUGCUGGAUAAAAGGUUGAGCAGAAACUUGCCUGUGCACGAAUGUAGAAGUCAUUAGAACCGGAUCGCAAAAGCUCAGGUACUUACAUUCUCCUGAUGGACAUUUCCAGUUGUGUCGUUCGGAUCAGGUCUCUGAGAAGCCAAUGUUCCAGAGGCCUUCCGGUGUCGAGGGAGGAACGAACUUAUACCGAUGUUCACACCGCGAGUUCCCGUUUCGCCUGGGAGUUCCACACGUUGACGUUGGGAAUCUAGUGGGAAAACCACAUCGAGCAACCUGAAGCUCGUAGUGAUGCGACGGAGACACUGGACUUACAACGAUGGUAGAGGUGCGACUGCUUCUGCUAAGUCUCCAGGAAAGGAGUGGACUGCGCCUGUUAAGUCGGUGCGGAAGACAGGUGACGCGUGGAAUGCAAGUGCAAAAAGUUCUACCACGCCGGCUUCGAUUUCUCAGCUCCAUGGCGAUCUCUUUGAGGCGUGUCGGCUCUGGUGGUGAAGUCCGAGGAUUCUUUUUUGUGGUUGAUCUCUUUCCUUUGAUCCUAGACACCAAUGAAUUUGCAUUUUCAAGUUAUUGUACUUCGAAUUUAGCAUGUCCCAAGCCCCUAUAAUUGCAUUCCCUCCCUAAUCCAGUGUUUUGUAGAUGGUCCAAAUGUUAUUUAAAUUAACAUGUAUGUCAUAGGCAUUUAUUCAUUUUUCAGUUAAUGCCCAUGAUAAUAUUCAUUUUUCAGUUUCAAUUGAAAUUUAGGUAGAAAUAAUAUCACAUUGCAACCCUAUUGAAGUAAAGCCUUGCAAGAAUUAAUUUAGCCCAAAAAUUAUUUCUUUUUGGUCUGAUUAGGAUUCUUUAGCUUAAUGAAUAUUGUAAUGCCUAACACAAACAAUUAUAGAAAUGUAAUUUGUGCUUACUUUUAUAAAGUAUUUUUCUUCUUUUUAAGAAAAUAUACAAAUUGAAAGUGAGAUUGAAUAUAAUAUUUCAUCUGAGCAAGAUUGAAGUGCUAAUAUUGAGCAAUCUUGCUUUUCCCCUCUUAUUUCUUUUAAGUAUACAAAGAUUUCAAAUCUAAAUGGCUUAUUUUUCCUUUUCAUAUCCAAAACCAAUUUAAACUUCAUAGUCAGAGUUACUCUUAAAAAAACAAAAAAUAGUGUAUAUCCAAAUUUUAACAUAAAGCGUACAUGCAAAUUUACAUAAUAUUGAAAUCAAAAUAGGUAUGAAACUUAAUGUAAUACUUAAUAUUCUAAGUUAAUAUCAUUAUAUGUCAGGAUAAGAUACCAAAUUAUAUUUAUAUAUACUUAAUGUUAUAAUAUAAUGUGUUUAAGUUCCACACUUUAAUUACUCUACAUAAAGAGGAUUUGAAUUCUCUUUUUCUUUGAAAAUGGGUGUGAGAUAAUGUAGUGAAUGUUUAUAUCAAGCUUAUUAAUGGUAAUAUGUGCAAUUUUUUAUUGUGUCAAUUUAGUAGAAGGUAAAGUUUUUUAUUUAUCUUUUUCAUUGCUUUAAUGGUUUUGUAACAACUAUUGCUUUCUUAAAAGGAAAGCAUAAAAAGAUUAUUCUCCAUUUUGAUCUUAUAAUCACAGUCCACAAUCAAUAUUUUAUUAUGAUAAUGAUAGAGAACUACAUCAAAUCAAGUGCAAUAUAAAAGUAUUAUGGGAAACCUUAUUCAAUCUUGCUCACCACAAUACCUUAAUAACUUAUGAUUACACCUUUAUUUUUUGAUAAUAUAAACUAUAUUAAACAAUUGUUAUAAGUGGGUAAACAUGUGAUAAAGUGAGAGUAAGGAUAAAACCAAGCUAAAAAUCCAAGAAUUGAAUUCGUCCAGUAUUAAACUCCUUAACCAGAUGGACUUGUUGCUCCUUCUGAGGCCACCAGGAUUUGCCAGUGACUCGACUUGAGGUUCAAGCUGGUUCUUCCAAGUUCUUGUGAGUCGAGUAGUAAACAACGUCUCCAGCUUCAAGUCCUUGGGAACCAGAUCCAGCGGUCCAAUUCCAUUCAUUGAGACAAAAGUAUCCUUGUCUAUCAGGGUUCACGCCUGUGAGAUCCUGGGGACGACGUACUUUUGGAGCUUCCCAUCCGGAGAAGCGAGUAUACUUCCAAUGUAAACUUCCGGAGAAAGGAUCCCUUCCACGAAGACCAGCCUGAUGCUCUCUUCUUCUUUGUCUUCCAUGCCCUCAAAGAUCAUCUCCACCUGUCACCAGCGGCAGGAUCUCUGAAUUCUUGAGAAACUUCACGUUUGUGAACCUGUGGGCUUCGUCUUUGCUGCUAGGCCACUUACACGUAACCGCGACCUCGGCCGAUCCAUCCCGCAAGGCUUUCGAGACGAGAUUGGUCCUCCUCUCCUCCCCAGCACCCUUGCUCGCGCUGUCCUCCAGCUUCUCUGCGAGCUCUAGAAGAGCCUGCUCUCCGAGGAGCAGUAAUCCGGGCUCUCGAUCUGCUCUGCCAUGGGCGCCUUCCUGGACCGGAAGGUUAGGUGCUGAGGGAAGGCAAGUUCAUCUGAAAUCCAAAGGGAAUUCUGUUUGAGAAUAUUCUCCGUGACGAACCCCGGUUCUGCCUCGUCCUGGAAGCUAUUAACCUGCUUCUAGAUGCGUCGUCUCUCGUAGAUCUAGCGCUCACUCAGGCGAGCUCUCUUACAGGAUGUGGAUCGCGAGGGCCAAUGAUCAAGAAAUGCUUGCCAAGCGGAAGAACGCUGUGUCGGUGGCGCCAAGCAGGCCUCAACGGGCCGUCCCCAAGGAAGCGAUUGCUCCUUCCAAGGCAGAGCGCGACGAGGUUAGAAAUUCUAGUCCCGUUUUCUUUUCCUCACAUCACGUAUGGACUGGAAAGAUGGCGGCGAAGGAUCUCCAGAAGAAGAGCAUGAAGCUCGACGAGUUCCCGGAGGUGUCGGGCUAGUUGGCGUCUCAAGGGAUUAAAGCGUGCUCAAGAGCGUGCAGCACGAGAAGGAGCGAAUCUUCCAGAUCUUAAGUGUUUUCUCUUCCAUUUUCCUCUUUACUCCUCGUGGCUUACGAAUCGAGGGGAUACAGUGACCGAUGGGGAUCGUCUGAUGCAAAGUAACAAGCGAACGGCACAUUCCAACGCACAUCUCCAUGCUAUUCGUGACAGAAAACGUAAGUACGAGCAGGAACAGGAGGCCGGACGCUCAGAGGAUGAGCCUGCGAAACAAGAUUCUCUGUCUGCGAGGGAAGGUUCUCGGUCUCCGAGGGAAGGUUCUCGGAUGAGAGCUGUGAGGUUCUCGGUCCUCUGUGGCAAUGGGAUUCCCUUGCCAAGACUGAUGUGGUCUGACGCGACCACUCAGUUGGUCUUGAGCUUGAGCUUGUCUCAUGUGUAAUUGCUGCUGCUGCUGCUGCUGCUGCUGAAGUUGUUGUUGCUGUGGUUGCUGCUGCUGGAUGUGCUGCUGCUGGAUUUGCUGGGGCUGCUGCUGGAGCCCUGGCUGCUGAGGACCCAUGAGAGACGAAGUCCCAGAAACCAUCUGAGACGCAUCCGACGGAUUUGGCGGGGGAGCGUUGCUGUUGUUCUGGGACGACUUAUACUCUAGCGAGAGCAUCUUCACGGAUAUCCUCCGGAUAUAGUCUUGCUGAACAAGGAAAAAGAAACUUUUCUAUCAGGGGAGCGAGGAGAAACUUGCCUGAUCCGUCGCCGUCAUGUAAACCCUCUCCUCGAAGCGGCAUGCGAUCUCGAGCAGCUCGUUCAUGCCGUCGGGCAGAUUGUGUGGCAUAUGCUUCUGGAGCGUGUCCAUUCUGCCCAUUACCAGAGACAAGGCCAUUAGGAUCAAUCCAGAGAGCUAGAGGAGAGCUCUUACAUUCUCUCGACGAUCUUAUUCCGCGCAUCGGAGCAUAGGCCACUACGCCAAUCCAUUGCCCUCGUCUUCUAAAACCCUGGCUAGCGCUCCUCCUAUUUGAAUAAAAUAAUGGGAAGUCAACGCCCACCAGUGCAGAUCUGGAAGACUUUCGCAGCACGUUCCUGCGCCAGCGCUACGAAAAAAAUAGUUUUUCAGAGCCUGCGCAACUCAUCAACUUCUCUUGAGCUUUGGUAUAAUAGCCGAAGAAACUUGCCUGUGCACGAGUGGAAAAUCCAUUAGAACCGGAUUCUCCUGCUCGGAUCAGGGCCAAUGUUCCAGAAGCCUUCUGGUGUCGAGAGAGGAACGUACUUAUACCAAUGCCUUGACACCUGAUUGUGAUGCUCACACCGCGAGUUCUUGUUUCGCCUGGGAGUGAAGAAACAGUCCAUUUCGUGCCAGAUACGUUAGGAAUCUUUGAGCAACUAGGCAGAGCUGAAGAUUGUAGUGAUGUGAUGGAAACACUAAAAUCUCCAAGGAGAGACUAGACUUCUAAGAAAGGAGUGGACUGUGCUUGUUAAGUUAGUGUGGAAGAUGGUUGAGAUGACUUUUUGAAUUUUGGCAUAUCUCAAUUACAUUUGAUUUUUCAUUUUGCAUAUUGAUACUUCUAAUAUCAGUUUACUGAACAUUACAAUUAGUAAAGGUAAAUUAUUUCAUAAAAAAAGAGUGUUUAACAGUAAUUUAGGGUUUUGAGAAGCUUCAUAAAUAUUUGCAUGGAUCUCAGACAUUAUUAAAAGGUGAUUAUGCUAUGGUUACUUUAUUAUUAAAGUAAAAUAACUUACUACUCAGUGGGCUCUAAAACUUUAAAUAUAUAAUUUCAAGGUUAUUCAUCACUUAUGGAGUAUUAUGGUUGAUGUUGACAUUCUUUCUUAAACUUCUCUCCUUUUUUCACUCUUUUGUUAUAUUCUUAGUAAGCUUAUUAUUCAACAUCUGUGGAUUUUCUAGAUGAGAAUUUCAUGCCGUCAAUAAUUGCUAUACUUGACUAAGUGUUUACAAAAUGUGGAGUAAGAUUUAAAAGUUCGUGAGGCUCAAAAGGUUAAACAAUGGAUCCAAAGGUUUUACAAUGGGUUUAAUAAUUUUGCAUCACUUACUAAUAACUUGUUAUUUUAACAUUUACAAUCUCAAUAUCACCUUGAGGACAACAUUCUUUAUUUUGUGGGGAUGGAUCCUAAUGAUCAUUUACGACUAGUGGUGCCUUCAAUAUUUAUUUCACUCUUUCUUCACACUUACUAUUAUACUCCUAUUCUAGGUAGGCAUACAAAACAUUGUUGUAUAACUAAAAAGUUCUACACAUCUUUCUAUUAGCCUAAGAUGUGAUGUGAUGUUAUUUUAUAUAUAUAUAAUUGCAUUUGGUGCUAAGCUCAUAAGACUCCCCCUUCUAUUGUAGAAGGACAAUUAAAGUUAAUUCUAGUUUCUCGUUUGUUUACAUUUGAUUUAAUAGGGCUUUUUCUAUAGUUUAUUACUGGCAAUAAGUAUGUCAUUAUUAUUUAUAAUUAUUUGACUCAAUGGGUGGAAGUUAAUGCUUUUGCUAAUGUGUCUACAGCUACUAUUAGAUACUUCCUCCUCAAUUGUAUAAUGUUCUAGCAUUCUUAUCCGAAGCAAAUUCUCUCGAAUAAUAGUUCCGCAUUUAUGGUUAGGGCAUUUCACAUUUUAACAUCUCAAUUGAGGAAAUGCCAUACUUUCACAAGUGUUUAUCAUCUAUAAAUAGAUGGUUUAGUGAAACAGCUCAUUCGGACCUUCAAAAGGAUGAUUACAAAGUAUAUGAACUUUCAAUAUUCAGAUUAGGAUGGUUAUUUGUCAUUUUUUUUUUAUAUAUUUUCACAAGGGUAUAAAGUUUUAUUAGUGCUUCACCAUAUAAAAUUCUAUAUGACCAUGAUUCAAUAUUACUAACGGAGUUGAGUUUAUCUUCACAAUUGCCACAAACUACUGAUGCUAGGUCUUGAUAUUAGCAUUUGACAAGUAUUCUUCCAUUAGUUCAAGUGGAGUUUAAUAAACACUUAAUCUGUAUAAAUAGGACAACAACAAUGUUACAACUCCUAUCAUCAUCUAUAUUCAAAGUACAAAAUAGAUGAUUUAGUCUUAGUUUAUUUUUCCAAUCUUAUAAUAUGUGAUUUGUUUAAAAGGUUUCUUGCUCAAUGGAAGGGACUAUAUCAGAUAUUGCAGCAACUUGGACCACAAAUGUGUAAAGUUUAGCAUGAUAUUCAACAAAUACAUCCUCCAAAUAUUAUGCAUGUGAAGCAAUUAAAAAGCUUUAUACAAAGGGAUCAAACUAACACCACCUAUAGAUCUAAUCAUGCCUCCUCCUGAUGUUCUUCUAAAUCUUGACCUAUCAACUAGAGAACCCUAAUAACCUUCCAUCCUUCUGAAAGGAGGGGAUGAUAUAAAAUCCAAGUGCAUAAUUACGAUACCAUAUAUUAAUAUUAGUGUAGUGGGAUUUUAAUAACCAUUAAAGUGGUUUCAAUUUGAACCACUUACUCUUGUAUAUAAGCUAUGGUUUUAGGAUUAAUCAAAUAUACGUAACCUCUUGAAUUUGGACUUCUAAAGAUGUCACUCAACCUAAUACCUAAAAACGCUUAACUCUAAAUAUCUUAAAAUUCUUAACCAAUUGGAAAAAAAAGUGCACUAUUGUUCAUGAGUUCUUUCCCUUUAUAUUUAGACCCCUACAAACUAUCUCUUAAGUUGUUCUCUUUGGUGAUUUACAACAUGCAAAUGUUAAUCUAAUAAUGUCUACGACAAUAUUUAAGUAACAUUUAGACCACGAGUUACAUGGGACUAGGUUAUAAGGGCUUGGGACAUGUUAAAUUUGAAGUACAAUAACUUGAAAUUGCAAAUCCAUCAACUUAGGUGGGGCAUGCAAUUAUAGGGGCUUGAGACAUGCUAAAUUCAGAGUACAAUAACUUGAAAAUACAAUUUCACUAACAAACAACAACAAGAUUGUAGUGCACAUGGUUUUUACCCUUUAUCCUAUGAUGAUUUACCAUAGGAUAACCACAAAGCAGAACAUAAACCCUCUUUGUGCCACGUGACAGAUGCCAUGUGUCAUAUGCCACAUGUCCAAAGGACAGUGGUGUGGAACCCAAGUUUCAGGGUCUUGGGCCACUGAACAAAAAAACAGUGCCAAACUCCCAAGCAUGGAGCCAAGGAGUGACGGAACUGAACCACGGAGCAACUCCCGAGCAUGUAGCCUAAGGAGCGAAGAGAUAGGAGCUCGGAGCGACUUGGAACAGUCCCAGAACAACCAAUAUCUCAAUGCCAAGACCAACACGCAAAACAAAGCCAAACGGAGUCUGGCGCUAUUUCAGCAUACCAGUGGCCUAACAUGAGGACAUGGGUGUAAGGAACUGACUCCCCGAGAUGUCGUAAGGCUAAAGGAUCCCCAAAAGCUUGACCGAAAUGACAAAGAGUUCAUUGGAUGGGACCAAGUCGAGGAUCGAGUCCAAGACCGACUCUAGGACUGAGUUCGAGGUAGAGUCCGGAAUCGAGUCCGAGACCGACUCGGGGACCGAGUUCGAGNNNNNNNNNNNNNNNNNNNNNNNNNNNNNNNNNNNNNNNNNNNNNNNNNNNNNNNNNNNNNNNNNNNNNNNNNNNNNNNNNNNNNNNNNNNNNNNNNNNNNNNNNNNNNNNNNNNNNNNNNNNNNNNNNNNNNNNNNNNNNNNNNNNNNNNNNNNNNNNNNNNNNNNNNNNNNNNNNNNNNNNNNNNNNNNNNNNNNNNNNNNNNNNNNNNNNNNNNNNNNNNNNNNNNNNNNNNNNNNNNNNNNNNNNNNNNNNNNNNNNNNNNNNNNNNNNNNNNNNNNNNNNNNNNNNNNNNNNNNNNNNNNNNNNNNNNNNNNNNNNNNNNNNNNNNNNNNNNNNNNNNNNNNNNNNNNNNNNNNNNNNNNNNNNNNNNNNNNNNNNNNNNNNNNNNNNNNNNNNNNNNNNNNNNNNNNNNNNNNNNNNNNNNNNNNNNNNNNNNNNNNNNNNNNNNNNNNNNNNNNNNNNNNNNNNNNNNNNNNNNNNNNNNNNNNNNNNNNNNNNNNNNNNNNNNNNNNNNNNNNNNNNNNNNNNNNNNNNNNNNNNNNNNNNNNNNNNNNNNNNNNNNNNNNNNNNNNNNNNNNNNNNNNNNNNNNNNNNNNNNNNNNNNNNNNNNNNNNNNNNNNNNNNNNNNNNNNNNNNNNNNNNNNNNNNNNNNNNNNNNNNNNNNNNNNNNNNNNNNNNNNNNNNNNNNNNNNNNNNNNNNNNNNNNNNNNNNNNNNNNNNNNNNNNNNNNNNNNNNNNNNNNNNNNNNNNNNNNNNNNNNNNNNNNNNNNNNNNNNNNNNNNNNNNNNNNNNNNNNNNNNNNNNNNNNNNNNNNNNNNNNNNNNNNNNNNNNNNNNNNNNNNNNNNNNNNNNNNNNNNNNNNNNNNNNNNNNNNNNNNNNNNNNNNNNNNNNNNNNNNNNNNNNNNNNNNNNNNNNNNNNNNNNNNNNNNNNNNNNNNNNNNNNNNNNNNNNNNNNNNNNNNNNNNNNNNNNNNNNNNNNNNNNNNNNNNNNNNNNNNNNNNNNNNNNNNNNNNNNNNNNNNNNNNNNNNNNNNNNNNNNNNNNNNNNNNNNNNNNNNNNNNNNNNNNNNNNNUUUUUGGGGGGGGGGGGGGGGCUGCAGGGGGUUCCAAAAGUAUAGUAGGGAUAUUGAGGUCCAGAAACCAGUUUUGAAGGGACUCUCCAAUUGGGCUUCCAAACCGACUUGAGGUUGAGACUGGGACCAAGGGGCCUUGGGUGGGAGUGAGCAUGGACUUGGCUGGUGCCGGAGGGGCCAUCCAAGGAAGUGCUCAAGAGCAGCUCCCACUCCCGAAAGGGAAACCGACUGCGGUGCUCCCGGCUCAGGUGGAGUGGUGCCCCACUUGAGUACCUUGUGGCUCAUUGGUCCUCGCCCUUCCGGGGGCUUGGGCCUUCCCUUUGGGAGGGAAGAGGGGGGGUAGAGGUACCCAUACCGGGCCGUUAGGCCACGGUGUUUCGCCCUGACGUCCCGAAGCAAGUGCUGCACCCAAGGCUUGGGAUUUAGAGGGUCCCAUGAUCAAGUCUUGUGGUACCAAGGGGUGUUAGGAAUCUGGAGGCUUGGUGUGCUUGGCUGCUUGUGCCUGCGAGGAGUGUAGCCGAACCUUAAGUCCAGUUUAACCCGGGGAGGGGGAUUGGGAGAGAUUUGGGAAUCUGUAGAUGGAUGGCUAACACUCCGUUGCUCGUGCAGUAAGUAGCUGAAACCAAGUAGGAGCUGGUACUAUAGGCAAGAACCUUGGCGAGGGAACUUAGCACAAGCCAAGGCAGAGUUGGUCGGAUAGGCGAGGUAAGCUGGCAAAUUGGAAAGGAAAAAUUUGUGGCUUAUAAUUUGGUAUCGGAGCCUCUUCCUCAGUUCUAGCGAAGGAUAGAGGCGGAUUGCUGGAAGAUGGCAAGGGCAGGACGUAAGCGAACCCAAGCAGAGACGGAACCUCCUCUAGAGCUGGAGCCUCCGGUCGAACAGGAGGCGAUGGAUGAGAAAUCCUUGCAUGAGGAGGACUCCAGUGAGGCAACUUCCAAACAGGAGUCUGGUGGUGAGGUUCGGUCGUCCAAGGCUCGAUUGGAUGUUCUAGAAGGACAAUUGGCACAGACCAAUGCCCUACUAGAGACUCUCGUACGCAAGCUAAAGCGUGACGAGAAGCGGAAGAAAAAGCGAAAGACUGCGGAUGCUGGCAGCGCAGAAGGUGCGAACCCUUUGGCAGGGAUUGAGGCAAAACCAGACAAGGUCGAACAGACCGAAGUGGAAUCAGUCCCUCAGGCAGUUCCCAAGUACAAACCAAAGCCCCCACCGGUCUUCAAGGGAGUGAACGACUAUAAGGUGGUGGAGGAUUGGUUUUACGAUAUAGAGGACUACUUCCGAGCGUUGCGAUUACCAAGCUCGGAGAAGGUCCCAUGUGCAAAACCAUACUUGGCAGAUAAUGCCAAGUCUUGGUGGAGAACGACAGAGGCCAACGAAGGACCGGUGGCCACUUGGGAAAUGAUGAAGGCGAGGAUCCGCGCAACUUACGUUCCUCCGAAUGCUACUCUGCAUCUAAGGGACGAGCUGAGUAGGCUGAAGCAGACCGGAACCAUUCAGGAGUAUGUGAAUGGGUUUAUGGCAAAGAGGAUACUUGUCACGGACAUGGGGGAUAUGGAUGCGUUCCAUGCCUUCAUAUCAGGUUUGCAAACCUGGGCUCGCGGCGAAGUAAUGCGGUGGAACCCGACCAACUACAAAGAAGCGUUGGAUGCGGCCAUCAAGGUGCAUUUCAACGAUAACCUGCGAAAGGGGAACACGACAGGGUCAGGAUCCACGUUUAGCAAAGGGGCCAAACCAAGGGGAACGUUUAGCAGAGGGAAAUUCAAGAAGAGUUUCUCUAAGAAUGAGUCCUCGGGGUUCCGGAAAGGCAGAUCCGGUGGCCAGCGAGCGAGUACGUGGGGGAGUCAGGCGAAAAGAGACAAACCCACGGAUAAGAAGGUCAAGUCAUAUAGCAGCGUGGGAAACAACAUAUGCUACAACUGCGGUGAAGCGGGACACUUUUCGAGGGAAUGUCCCUACCCGAAGAAGGCUAGAGCCAAUAUAGCCAUCAAGUCGGGUGAAGUCCAAACAAAGGUAUGUGAUCCAGUCCCUAACUCAAAAUUACUCAUUACACGAGCAACUUUGGUAGAGAGUCGUUCGCGACAUCUACUAGCCCUCCGAGGGAAGCUCGGAGGUAGCUUUGUUAAAAUUCUUAUUGACACGGGUGCUUCGGAUAAUUUUGUGGCUGCAGACAUAGUCCGGCAAGCCGGACUAACGGUGCAGCGGCUAGGCGAACCAAGGACUAUAGAGUUUGUUCAAGGUAGCCAAAGCACCGAUGAGGUACUUCGACAAGCGAAAGUCAAAGUGGGGACUUGGAAGGUGGACAUGGACUUCACCGUGUUGGACAUGGCGGGAUUUGACGUGAUCUUCGGAAUGGACUGGUUCAAUCAAUUCGUGGUAGCCCUGCAUGGACAAGGUAGAAACCUUGUGGUACUGGCGAAUGCCCAAGGAAGAAGAUCUAGGGUGGAGGCCCAAGAUCUAAAGGUAGGGCAAAGCAAGGCCAAAGAUUCCUGCUUAAACCUGGUGUCCACGAGAGGACAACUCACUAAAGGAACUAAGGUGGCCUUUUCGUGCUUACUCUCGGUGAAGAGUGACAAAAAGACAGGAAUGGAAGAAGUACCUUUAGUGAUCCAACGGGUGUUGGACCAAUUCCAGGAUACCAUGCCGGAGGAGCUACCGGCGGGGCUACCCCCAACACGACCGAUAGAACAUAAGAUUGAGCUGGUCGAGGGUGCUGAGGCAGUGGUUCGUCCCCCUUAUCGUUUGAACGAAAAAGAACUCAAGGAGCUCAAGUGCCAACUAGAGGAGUUGGUGGACAAAGGGUAUGUUAGGUUGAGCAAGUCGCCGUAUGGGGCGCCGGUGUUAUUUGUGAAAAAGAAAGAUGGAUCUAUGCGCAUGUGCAUAGACUACCGCUUGCUCAACAAGUAUACAAAGAAGAACAAGUACCCUUUGCCAAGGAUUGAGGACCUGUUCGAUAGGUUGGGAAAGGCAAAAUACUUCUCGAGGAUUGACCUAAGGUCAGGAUACUACCAAAUCAGGGUAGCCGAGGAAGAUGUCGAGAAGACAACCUGUCGAACGAGGUAUGGGAGCUUUGAGUUUCUGGUGAUGCCCUUCGGGCUAUGUAAUGGGCCGGCAACGUUUUCGGCGCUAAUGAACCACAUCUUUGUACCCUAUCUGGAUCACUUCGUGGUCGUCUAUAUCGACGACAUCCUGAUCUAUAGCGAGACGCUAGAGGAGCAUGCCGAACAUUUGGCGAAGGUGUUUGAGAAACUAAGGGAACACAAGUUGUAUGCUAAAGAGAGCAAAUGUGACUUUGCUCAACAAGAGGUAAAGUUUCUCGGGCAUGUGGUGGGCCAGGACGGGCUCAAGGUGGACCUGGAGAAGGUCCAAGCGAUCCAGGAAUGGGAGCAACCAUCCAAUGUACACGAGUUGAGGGCAUUCCUGGGGCUAUCCAACUACUAUCGAAAGUUUAUCAGACACUAUUCGAGAGUAGCCCUGCCCUUAACGGACUAAACAAGAAAAGGGAAGAUGGUGUGGACGGCGGAAUGCGAGGCGGCAUUCGUCCACCUCAAAGGGAAGUUGAGGAAGGCUCCCGUAUUGGCAUUACCAGACUUUGGUAAGGACUUUGAGGUAGAAACGGAUGCCUCAGACUUUGCGUUGGGCGCAGUUUUGAAGCAAGACAACCAUCCGGUAGCGUUCUUCUCGAAGAAGCUGGACAAGGCUCAACGGAAGUGGCCAGCCCACGAGAAGGAAUUGUUUGCGGUGGUCAAGGCGCUCAAGGAGUGGCGACACUACCUUGGGAGACACUUCAAGGUUUACACGGACAAUGUGGCAACAAAACACUUCUUGUCACAGCCCGACCUAAGAGGGAAACAAGGUCGGUGGGCCAAUGCCUUGGCCGAGUUUGAUUGCGAAAUUCUGUAUAAGCCUGGGAAGAGCAACAUCGUGGCGGAUGCGCUAAGUCGAAAAGCGAGUUUGAGGUUGGCAAUAUCCAACGCAACAGCAACCUUCUGGGACGAUGUGCGGACAGCAUAUGAGAACGAUGGUCUAGCACAGGAAGUGUUGCUGAGGAAUCUAGAGGCGCGGGAAGCUCACCAGAGAGGUGAGCUGCCAACGGAAGAGAAAACGGGCUAUGCGGAACGCAACGGACUCAUUUAUUACAAGCAAACGAGGGUGUAUGUUCCAGAAGGGGAACUAAGGAAGGUGGCCUUAGAAGAGUGUCAUGACGGACCUCUUGCGGGACACGGUGGAGUGCCCAAGACGAUGGGCUUACUCAAAAGGAAGUACCAUUGGCCAGAUAUGGCUAAGGACGUCCAAGACUAUGUAAAGACAUGUCCAACAUGUCAGCAGGUAAAAGCCAUGACUAAGGCUAGUGGGGGCUUGUUGCAAAGCAUCCCAAUUCCAGAUCACCCGUGGAAAUGUUUUACGAUGGACUUCAUCACGGGACUCCCCCCAAGCGAGGGGUUUGAUGCAAUAUUCGUGGUGGUGGACCGAUUUUCGAAAAUGGCACAUUUCAUACCCACCACAACUGAGGUGGAUGCGGAAGGUGUGGCGAAGCUGUUCUUUGAGCAAGUGGUUCGAGUGCGGGGAAGACCCGAAGAGAUCAUCUCAGAUCGAGAUAAGAUCUUCACCAGUAGGUUCUGGAGGACUCUCCUGGAACAGUAUCGCACCAAGUUGAAAUUCAGCACAGCCUAUCACCCACAGACAGGUAUGGGGUAUUAAGUCAAGUUGUUGGCACUAACACUUCUUGACAGACGGACAAACGGAAAGGGUGAAUAGGCAGCUGGAGGAUUAUUUGCGAUGUUAUGUCUCGGGAGACCAGACCGAUUGGGUAAGUCAUUUGGGACUUGCGAAAAUGUGUUAUAACAACUCACCACAUUCGAGUAUCGGGGUGAGUCCAUGGGAAGUCAUCAAUGGGCGAGCUAUUGAAGGUCCUGUGGAACUCGGCGUGGCCGAGUAUCAUGGAGAGUUGCCCGCAGUGGAGGCAUUCACGGCAGAAAGACUCAGCAUUUGGAAUCUAGUGAGGGAUUCCUUGGAACGGGCUCAACAAAGGCAAACUAAAUACGCGAACCAGAAGCGUCGGGAUGUAGAGUUCCAAGCUGGGGAGAAGGUGUGGCUGAACACCAAGAACCUCAGAGUACCAAGUGGGAUCAGCCGAAAGUUGACCCAAAGGUAAAGAUGCAUGUAUUCCUGUAAAUGAAUUGAUCUUGAGUUCCUUAAGCAGGUUCGCGGGGCCUUACGAGAUUGAGGCACGAAUCGGUAAAGUGGCUUACCGACUCCGACUUCCUCGAGAGAUGGGGAAGAUGCACCCAGUGUUCCACGUGAACUUACUCAAGCCGUACUUUGAGGAUCCGCUUCGCAAGGACCAAGUGAGACCUUUACCUGAAGUUAUCCAAGGGGAAGAGGAAUACGAAGUCGAGGCCAUCCUCAAUGCGCGCAAAAGCAAGCGACCAGGACGCGAGGUGAGAGAGUUCCAUGUGAAGUGGAAAGGGUUUCCACACUGCGAAGCAACAUAGGAACCGGAGGAGAACCUAGCGAACACUCGAGAUCUAGUGGAGGAAUUUCUGCAAGGCAGAACUCUAUGUACUUAUGCAAAAUUCAAUUAAAAAUAUCAAUUUGCAAAGUUGAGCAAGUGGCAUAUGUUGGGACCCGAAGGCGUGCCAAAGGUAACCUAAUUAGCAUGGGUUAGAUAGGUCGACCAGGCGUAGGGCACUACGCCCGACUCCCCGCGGGGAUGUCGAAUCCGUAGACGUAUUCUACGGAGGUUGGGUUCGAGUCCCAACCCCCUAGUAAAGCAAGGCUGGGUUCAAGUCCCGACCCCAUACUAGGGCGUGGUGAGGUGAGGAGUAUAGGGACACCUAUAUUCCGUUGUCAUGGGCUCUUGGCCGGGGAGGCUAACUUAGGCACACCGCUAAGUGGGGGGAUGCCCCCGGAGACAUGGUCAACAAGUCGUAGGAUAAAACGAGAUGUUCGAUGUGGGCAUCGAACUUCUUCUAUGGGUGGUGGAGUUGUAAGGAACCGACUCCCCGAGAUGUCGUAAGGCUAAAGGAUCCCCAAAAGCUUGACCGAAAUGACAAAGAGUUCAUUGGAUGGGACCAAGUCCAGAAUCGAGUCAAAGACCGACUCUAGGACCGAGUUCGAGAUAGAGUCCGGAAUCGAGUCCGAGACCGACUCGGGGACCGAGUUCGAGUCCGAGUUCGAGACCAAGUUCGAGACGGAGUCCGAGAUCCGAAAUCGGGUCCGAGACCGAGUCCGAGGUCGGGUCCGAGAUCGGGUCUGAGAUCGAGUCCGAAAUCGAGUCCGAGACCGAAUCCGAAGUCGGAUCCGAAAUCGGGUCCGAGAUCGAGCUAGAGACUAAGUCCAAAUACUAAUACGGGUCAAGGGGUGAAAGCCCAAAGCGUGCGUCUCCCAGGGGGGGGGGGCUGCAGGGGGUUCCAAAAGUAUAGUAGGGAUACUGAGGUCCAGGAACCAGUUUUGAAGGGACUCUCCAGUUGGGCUUCCAAACCGACUUGAGGUUGAGACUGGGACCGAGGGGCCUUGGGUGGGAGUGAGCAUGGACUUGGCUGGUGCUGGAGGGGCCAUCCAAAGAAGUGCUCAAGAGCAGCUCCCACUCCCGAAAGGGAAACCGACUGCGGUGCUCCCGGCUCAGGUGGAGUGGUGCCCCACUUGAGUACCUUGUGGCUCAUUGGUCCUUGCCCUUCCGGGGGCUUGGGCCUUCCCUUCGGGAGGGAAGAGGGGGGGUAGAGGUACCCAUACCGGGCCGUUAGGCCACGGUGUUUCGCCCCGACGUCCCGAAGCAAGUGCUGCACCCAAGGCUUGGGAUUUAGAGGGUCCCAUGAUCAAGUCUUGUGGUACCAAGGGGUAUUAGGAAUCUGGAGGCUUGGUGUGCUUGGCUGCUUGUGCCUGCGGGGAGUGUAGCCGAACCUUAAGUCCAGUCUAACCCGGGGAGGGGGAUUGGGAGAGAUUUGGGAUACUAUACAUUUGGAACCCCCCCCCCCCCCCCCCCCCCCCCCCCCUUGAGGAACACAUGCUUUGGGCUUUCACCCCAAACCUCCCUUAGUAUCAGGAGUUAGCCUCUGGGACAAGUUUGAAACUUACUAAAUAUGAAAUGUUCUUAGAUUGCAAAUUUGGACAUGGGACAAACACCAUUGUGUUCAGAACAAUCUUUACAUUCUGUAGAUAUGCCAAAUGAGCAAAUCUAGACACUUUCCAUAAAUAGUAUUUGGGACCGAAAUGAGACUAACACAAAGGGCAUGAUAGCGAGGGUGUUUGGCAGAUAUGGUAAGCUAUCAUCCAGUGAUAUUGAGGGACCAAUCUCAAUACGCAAGGGUUCUUGUCAUGCUAGUGCAAAACAAAGCAAAAGAGAACUAAGAGCCAAGUUGAGUAUGCUCAGCUAGAAACACAUAGGAGUUCCUACUUUAUGUCCAUUUGCCUAAAUACAAGUGCUAAGCCCAGUAAACUAACACUUGAACAAGAGGGGCUGAUAAAGGGAAUCAGCAAUACCGACCUCCUGCCAUCUUGGCAGUAAGGAAAGAGUGUCCAUAAGGACUGGCCAACAGGUAACUUUCGAUACCCGAAGUCACAUUCGCGACAAAAAUCUAAUUGAUGAACCAAGGAUUUAUCUCUAGACAAUUUAGAAAAUCAAUAAUGUGAGGAAGAGGAUACACAUUCAAGAUAGUCACUUUAUUUAAUAGUCAAUAAUCACUGUAGAAGCGAAUACUCUCAUCAAGUUUUGUUACAAGAUAAAGUUCAUAUACUUAGGGACUCUAUAACGUUUAGAUAACAUUAUUCUUAAAUAUUUCCUUAUUAUUUGUGAAUAGAAUUUUGAUCUCUUUUGGUGACCAAUGUCGAAUAGAAACUUUGAUUCAACAGGCAUCCCCAAUUAAAAUAGGAUGAUAUGCUCCAAUUUUAGCCCCAAAUGAUAAAUCAAGGUCAAAGAGAUAAACAUACUUCUUCAUGAGUUAAUCAACCAUUACAACAUAAAUAUCAUUGAAGGGAUCUAAAGUGGAAAUAGAGGAGCAAGAUGGAAAUAUAGUAGGAAGUAAUCAGGUGAUAAAAGUGAUUAAAACUAAGGUUAAAACUGAGGGAUAGGGUAAAAUAAAAAUAAGAGAAAUAGAAAAAUGAUAAGGGAAGUAUGAAAUAAGUAGGAGAAAUCUCAAAGUCCCAUUUGGUAUGAUUGUACCACAACCAAUCCAUACCAAAGAUGAGGUCAAAAUUUUAACUUAGCACCACUUUUAAUGAUUAAAUCUCAAGCUUGAGAUCACCUAUACAUACAACUAAAUCCACAUCAUUCUAUACAUAUAUAUAUGUAUGGCCAUUACUAUAGAGAAUGAAAAUUAACUUUACUACACAAUGUAAAUGUAAAUGGUAAUAUAUGGCAAUAGGCCAAGCAAUAUAAGAUAAACUCAAGCUUAUAUCAAUCAACAUAAAAAAAAUAAUAAACUUUUUGUUAUAAAAAUCCUUAAAAGUAAAUAUUAAAUGAAUUAGUGUUGAAUGAACCUCUUGAUAAUGCUCCUAAAAGAAGGAUGGAAAGGUCAAUAAUUUAUUCACACAAGAACUCUUCAUUAUUCAUAUAAUUUUUUGUUUCCCAAAAGAAUCUUUAUAUUAAAACCUUCCAUCAUAUCAACAUUAAUAAAACAUUGUUGACACUAAAGCUUCCAACCAAGAAAUGGAAGAUAUUAAUCAACUUCAUUACAUACUUAUCAACAAAUAUCACAGCUACAACCAUGUCCUCACCUUUGUCUUUGAACACAGGCAGUAAUAGCAUUAACUUCCAUCAAAACAGAAUCAUCUCCCAAAAAAAAUAGAGUUAAAGGAUGUGUAGUAAGAGUGAUAUCUCAUAAUGUUGUGCUAGUCAAAAAGUAUAAUUAAAGGUGGUUAAACCAAAUGCACGCACAAAUCCCAUAAAAUCUUGAUAAAAUAGUACCCACAACAUUUUUUGAUUUGAUCCAUUCUAAUAUAUUUAGCUCCACACAAAAGAAGAGACUCUAAAAAUAAAUGCCAAAUUGUAUUACUAACUCACAUGAUUGCCUAAUCCAUUGCUAUCAUGUAAAUCUUCUCCUUGAAGCAAAAUGCAAGCUAGUUCAUGCCAUCAAGUGGAUUGGAGUGUGUCCAUUCUGCUGAUUACCAAAGAGAAGGCCACUGCGCCAAUCCAUUUCUCACAAACUCUAGCUAGCUCUGUUCAAAAUUUUGAAAAACAAUGUGGAAUGUUCUUUACAUCUACAGAAUCUGGUCCAGUAUACAGAGUCCGGGGUUCCUCUCAACUGGUUCUUUCUAUCCAUCUCCAAGCAAUUCCUUGGUUCCAAGCAGAGAAUUCUCGCGGAGCGUCCCAGAGUGACAUCGUGGCAAUGUCUCGCGCCUGGGAUCUCCCACCCAAUACCUUUGGCGCCGCCUACGCCCAGUUCAUGGGAUCCAGGAACUUCAGCCCCGACGAUCGCCCUCCAGUUCGAUUUCUAGAGUCCGAGCUACGCGAGCCCGGUGAGUUCACGACUUUUGGCACGUUUGGCCUUUUUGGCCUACCCACCUGCGCAC
rnacentral:lncRNA from 1 species